rnacentral:lncRNA from 1 species
GUUGUAGAUCUCAAGCAUCUUUGGUGGGAGAGACUGGUGUUGAUGAUGUUGUCAAAGAGUCCGUGGUAAGUGAAUACUAAAACAUUGAAUUGCAAAGAAAUACAUUAGAUGGUGUUGUUGGACUGACUUAGGUGAAUUGUGUUACUAAGUAUCCACUUCAUUCCUUUUUUGUUCAUUAGUUGGGAUUUGUUGGCACAGACCAACUCCAAAUAAUUUGAUGCUAAUUGUGCAUGUCUGUCAUAGUUGAUAUUCUUUUUGUUCCAUUUUAUGCCAUUAGUCAUGCAUCUUGCGGUAAUGAAUCAGAAGCUGGGAAAUCUAUUUGACGCUGUGUUGUUGUGAUGUCUUACCUGUUAUUUAUUUGCUUUCACAUGCCCUUCCUUAGUCAUGGUAUUUUUAUGUUCAAUCCUUAAUAUGUCAAUUCUUUUACUGUCAUUCUUUCUUCAGUAAUUUGUAAAUGAUUUUUUUUGUUGAGAUUUAUAUAACGACUAUGAUUUGUUUGUUGGUGAUUCGCAGAAGGAUGAUCCCAAGGGAAAGGGAGUUUUGUUGGAUGGGGAUGACCUAGAUAAUCUUGUACAGGAUUCCUCAGUACAGGGGAAGGAUUAUCAGGAAAAGUUGGAUGAGAUGUAAGAAGAGUAAUUGAGAUAUUGAUUGAGGAUGUUUAUUUGAUUGAAGAGUAAUUUCGUGUUUUCCUGUCUUGGUGUAAUAUAGGUUGGCGGCAUCCCUUGCAGCUGAAGAAGAACGAAACUUUACUAGCAAAGCAUCGACUUCAGCUGCAGCAAUCCCGUCAGAGGAGGAUGAGGAAGAAGACAGCGACGGAGAUGAGGAAAUUUUAUUGGUAAUAUGUGGUCUUCGUACUACAUCUUUCUCUUGUUUUAUUUAUUGUUGCUUAAGUUACAGAUAUUCAGGGGAUAUAAAUUGGUUAUGUUGAAGAUACUUUAGUUAAGCAAUCAACACCACUUGUCAACUUGUCUGCUCCUCUUUCUGCAAAGGGAAAAAUUGCUUAUUCUGGAUGAAAUCCUCAUUUGCUUAGUAAAGAAUCAUGAUAAUGUCUUUGGAAUUAUGUGUCGUUUUUUCGUCUUUAUUAAGGAGUUAUCUGAUACUUUACCAUCCUCAUCUGCUAAUAAGAUUUUGUCUACCUUUCUAGCCAGUAAUGGAUGGGAAUAUCGACCCAGCUGUUCUGGCUUCUCUCCCUCCAUCCAUGCAACUUGAUCUCCUUGCUCAGGUAAUUAACUAUAUUUACACCAUAUCUUUGCAGCAUGUUAAAUUUCAUGGACGUUUCAGAUUAUUUAAUAAUGUCUUUACUUGUAGAUGAGAGAAAAAUUGAUGGCAGAAAACCGGCAAAAGUACCAAAAGGUCAAGAAGGUGAGUUACAUAAAUCACUGGCUCAUUCUUGGUCCAGUUAUGUAUUUGAAUCUCUAUGUAUAAGGAGACGCGGAACACUGACUAUGGAAGUAAUUAUGUAUAGGCCCCUGAAAAGUUUUCUGAAUUGCAAAUAGAAGCAUAUCUUAAAACUGUAGCCUUCCGUCGCGAAAUAAAUGAAGUUCAGAGAUCUGCUGGUGGAAGGGCUGUUGGUGGAGUUCAAACUUCUAGGAUAGCUUCGGAAGCAAACAGAGAGUUUAUAUUCUCGUCUUCUUUUGCUGGUGAUAAAGAGUGAGUUUCAGUUUGAAGUCUUAUUAAAGAAUAAGGUUCUUUCUAAAGUGAAAAUAACUGAUAUAUUUAAUUUGUUCUAGAGUACUGGCAUCUGCCAGAGAAGGAAGAAAUGAUGAAAAUCAAAAGAAAACGUCACAACAGUCUUUGCCAGUCUCCGUCAAGAAUGCUUCCCCGCUGAAAAAAUCAGAUGCUACCAUUGAGUUGGAUAGAGAUGAACCUAAAAAUCCUGAUGAAAAUAUUGAAGUAUAUAUAGAUGAAAGGGGACGUUUUAGAAUAAGGAACAGACACAUGGGAAUCCAAAUGACACGUGAUAUCCAGAGGAACUUACAUUUGAUGAAAGAAAAGGAGAGAACAGCUUCUGGUUCUAUGGCUAAGAAUGAUGAAACAUUCAGCGCCUGGGAGAACUUUCCUACUGAGGACCAAUUUCUUGAAAAAUCACCUGUUGAGAAAGAUGUUGUGGACCUGGAGAUCCAGAAUGAUGAUUCCAUGCUGCAUCCUCCAUCUUCCAUAGAGAUAUCAUUUGACCAUGAUGGUGGUGGAAAAGAUCUCAAUGAUGAAGAUGAUAUGUUUCUUCAAUUGGCAGCGGGAGGACCAGUGACAAUUAGUUCUACAGAAAAUGAUCCUAAAGAAGACACUUCACCGUGGGCUUCUGACAGUGAUUGGGAAGAAGUGCCUGUUGAACAGAAUACUUCUGUCUCUAAGCUUGAAGCGAAUUUAAGCAAUCAGCAUAUCCCCAAGGACAUUAGUAUCGCUGAGGGUGUAGCAUGGGAAGAAUAUAGUUGUAAAAAUGCCAAUAACUCCGUGGAGAAUGAUACAGUAACAAAGAUCACAAAAGGAUAUCUGGAAGAAGAAGCUGAUCUGCAGGAGGCUAUCAAGAAAAGUCUUCUUGAAUUACACGAUAAGGAAUCCGGGGAUGUCCUUGAAGAAAAUCAAUCAGUAAGGGUAAAUCUUGUUGUUGACAAGCCAAGCGAAGAUAGUCUUUGUUCUAGGGAAACGGUUGGUGAAGCUGAGGAAGAGAGAUUUCUGGACGAAAUAACAAUCUUGAAAACCAGUGGUGCUAUAAGUGAGCAGUCCAACACUUCUGUAGCGGGCAAUGCAGAUGGUCAGAAAGGGAUAACCAAACAAUUUGGUACACACCCUUCUUCCGGUUCUAAUAACGUUAGCCAUGCUGUGAGCAAUAAAUUGUCAAAGGUAAAAUCAGUUAUCUCACCCGAGAAAGCAUUAAAUGUUGCUAGUCAAAACCGCAUGCUAUCCACCAUGGCUAAACAGCACAAUGAAGAAGGUUCUGAAAGUUUUGGUGGAGAAUCUGUUAAAGUGUCUGCUAUGCCCAUAGCUGAUGAGGAAAUAACUGGUUUUCUUGAUGAAAAAGAUAAUGCUGAUGGUGAAUCAUCUAUCAUGAUGGACGAUAAGAGAGAUUAUAGUAGACGUAAAAUCCAGAGUCUUGUCACUGAAUCAAGGGACCCUUCUCGUAAUGUCGUCAGAUCGCGAAUAGGGAUACUACAUGACACAGAUUCACAAAAUGAAAGAAGGGAGGAAAAUAACUCUAACGAGCACACUUUCAAUAUUGACAGUUCAACAGAUUUUGAAGAGAAAGGCGUGCCUGUUGAAUUUUCAGAGGCAAAUAUAGAGGAGGAAAUUCGAGUUCUCGACCAAGAAUUCGUAAGUUUAGGUGAUGAACAGAGAAAACUUGAGCGGAAUGCUGAAUCUGUGAGCAGUGAGAUGUUUGCAGAAUGCCAGGUUUGCCCCUUGUCUUUAUACAUAUGAGUCAUUGUCCUCUUUAUACAGCCCUUUUGCAAACUUUCCGAAGUUUCUGUUCGUGUUUGAUUUGACAACAAACUUAUAAUGCUUUGUCGAUCUUGGUUUUCCGUAGGAGCUACUCCAAAUUUUUGGCAUACCGUACAUCAUAGCUCCCAUGGAAGCAGAGGCACAGUGUGCAUUUAUGGAACAAUCAAACCUUGUUGAUGGCAUUGUCACUGACGAUUCUGAUGUAUUCUUGUUUGGAGCAAGGAGCGUGUACAAAAAUAUAUUUGAUGAUCGUAAAUAUGUGGAGACAUACUUUAUGAAGGUGUGCAUUUCCUUUCUUACACUCUGUUUUCCAACAUGUGGAUUUAAGUACCUCAUUUCUUUUUAUUUUGGCUGUGAUGAUCACAUAAGCUUCCAUCAUACUAUCUAUGGUUUGUCCUCUGUUAUAACUUCUUAGCUCUUCUGUAGUUUCCUCUGGAUUGUAACUUUUUUGGUAGUAGGUUAAAUUUUCCUUUAUCAGGAAUAAGUUGAUACAUUGUUUCGGUAGUAAGUUGAUAUAUUUGUAUUUAUCGAUCUGUUUGAAGUUACAAUUUAACCGCAUGCAUUCACUUUUUCAAAUGUCUGGUGAUUACAUCUCUAAUCUCUUUUGAUUUUUCAGGACAUUGAGAAGGAGUUAGGCUUGAGCAGAGAUAAAAUAAUCCGCAUGGCAAUGCUUCUAGGAAGUGAUUACACAGAAGGAAUCAGGUUAGCUGAGGUUUUAACUGCAUAAGGUCAAAGUUCCGCUCUUUAUGUAAUUGAUAUCAUAAUUGUUUUGACAUGCAGUGGUAUUGGUAUUGUCAAUGCUAUUGAAGUUGUGACUGCUUUUCCCGAGGAGGAUGGGCUUCAGAAAUUUCGUGAAUGGGUUGAAUCACCUGAUCCAACCAUUUUAGGAAAGACUGAUGCAAAAACAGGUUCAAAGGUAAAGAAGCGUGGGUCUGCCUCCGUAGAUAAUAAAGGAAUCAUCUCAGGUGCCUCGACUGAUGACACCGAAGAAAUCAAGCAAAUCUUCAUGGAUCAGCAUGUAUGGCUCUUUUACCAUAACUUAAUGUUAAAUUUAUUAUGGUCCAACUUGUUCAAGAUUGACAAAACCUUUCUCCUAAUUUGAUUACGAUUUGAAUUUUACAGAGAAAGGUAAGCAAGAACUGGCAUAUUCCAUUGACUUUCCCUAGUGAGGCUGUUAUAUCAGCCUACUUAAAUCCGCAAGUGGAUCUGUCGACUGAGAAAUUCUCAUGGGGCAAACCUGAUCUUUCAGUACUUAGAAAGUAAGUUGUUCCUUUACUUAACAUUUCAUCUAAACAGUAUGGCAUAGCUUGACCUUUUUUUUUGGAGCCACUUACAGCGGCAGAAAGGUUUCAAUGAAUCUGAAGUAUAUGAAAAAUAUAUAUAUCAUGACUUGUCCGAUGGACCCGGUUUCUGUAAUAAUCUACUUAUCAAUUUAUGAAACAAUGUCCUGAGUUCUGAUUCUGUAGUAUCACUUUUUGUGAAGGCUAUGCUGGGAAAAGUUUAAUUGGAACGGCAAGAAAACAGAUGAACUACUACUACCAGUCUUGAAGGAGUAUGAAAAGCGCGAGGUCUUCAUCUAACAUUUGAUCUCUUAUCGUUGAUAUGCUUAUGAAUAAAUAAUAUGAACAGAAUCUGACAAUUUGUUUUCUUUCCACGAAGACGCAACUUCGGAUUGAAGCUUUCUAUUCCUUUAAUGAAAGAUUUGCAAAGAUCCGUAGUAAAAGAAUCAACAAAGCUGUCAAAGGAAUUGGUGGAGGUCUGUCGUCAGAUGUGGCCGAUCAUACUCUCCAGGAAGGUCCAAGAAAACGAAAUAAGAAAAAAGUUGCUCCUCAUGAAACUGAAGAUAACAACACUUCAGACAAAGAUUCACCUAUAGCCAAUGAGAAAGUGAAAAACAAAAGGAAGCGCUUAGAAAAACCAUCUAGUAGUAGAGGUAGAGGCAGAGCCCAGAAAAGAGGACGAGGAAGAGGAAGAGUCCAAAAAGAUCUCCUUGAGCUAUCCGACGGCAGUUCUGAUGAUGAUGAUGACGAUGACAAGGUAGUGGAAUUGGAGGCAAAACCGGCCAAUCUUCAAAAAGUGCGAAAGGUAAGCUUUCUUAAUGGAACCAAAUUACUUCUUUUAAUUGAUUAUGUAGUGGGUUCACUUUGUUAUCUGUCAUUCCCCAGUCAACACGAUCUCGGAAUCCUGUGAUGUACAGUGCAAAAGAAGAUGAUGAAUUGGACGAGUCAAGAAGCAAUGAAGGAUCUCCGAGUGAGAAUUUCGAAGAGGUUGACGAAGGCAGAAUAGGAAAUGAUGAUUCUGUAGAUGCAUCAAUCAACGACUGUCCUUCCGAAGACUACAUUCAAACGGGAGGUGGGUUCUGUGCAGAUGAAGCUGAUGAGAUUGGAGAUGCUCAUUUGGAAGAUAAAGCUACCGAUGAUUACAGAGUGAUCGGUGGCGGAUUCUGUGUUGAUGAAGAUGAAACAGCUGAGGAAAACACAAUGGAUGAUGAUGCAGAAAUUUUAAAGAUGGAGAGUGAAGAACAACGAAAGAAAGGUAAACGUCGAAACGAAGAAGAUGCAUCAUUGGAUGAGAAUGUUGACAUUCAUUUUGGGAAUUCUUCAGCUGGAGGAUUAAGUGCGAUGCCUUUCUUGAAGAGAAAGAAGAGAAAAAACUGAAAAAACUUCGUUUAGUUUUAUAUUUUAGUAAAUGGUAAAAGUAAUUAGGGGAGUAAAAAAUGUAUGAUAUUUGAAAUUUUCUUAUGUUUAACUGUUUUGAGAGAAUCAACAAAUGAUUAUGAUGUGAAUAGAAUUAGAAUCUUGAAGUUACAAGUUUUAAGUGGUUUUGCGGCAAACGAUAAAGGUAAACAGUAAACGUUAAAAAGAAUGAGAAUCAAACAGUUUUAUGAUCCAUUGACGAUGGUCUCCUUUUACCAAACCCUUUGUUUCUCGAGAAAAAAACAUUCUUCUACAUAAAAUUUCUCAACAAGUUUUGAGUCUAACUACAUUUUUCACUGAAAUAUUUGUUUGCCUUCGAGUUGACCCAGGGACCCGGAUACUCACGGGCUCGGUUGUAACAUGAAGCCCACUGUUAAUCAAAUCAUAUGUUAUCAGAAACUGAAUUUUGAAAAACCUUUCUCUUAUUUAUAUUUUUGAGAACGGUUUCCAAAAAUGAUAUUUUCCAAAAUUUUCGAAAAGAAAUAUAUGAUUCAAAAAUAAACUGAGAAAUGUGAAGAAGCACUAACAAGUGACAACCAAACAUUCAUUAGUUUAGGCUGUUGACCCCAAAAACAAAUAUAAAGUUUAGGCUUCAAACCUCUAUUCACGUUACAUGAUUAUAUUAGGGAUAACCAUAACAAUCUAAUCGAUUAAAUCCUUCAUCCAAAUUCAAAUUAUAUGAUUUUGAAGAAACUGAUUGAGUUCCUUUUGUUACAAGAUUGUCUUUGGCAGAAAGAAUAUUUUGAAAUGGGUAAACAAUAAAUUAUUGAAAAACGACCAAGAUUUGAGAACGUGCAACUUUCCCAAACAUCAGACACCAGAUUCAAUCUUCCAUAUGGACCAUAUCUCAUCGGCACUGGUUGCUAUUAUUGUGUAACGAUAGAAUCGUGAAAAACAAAUACAAAAUAGAAUAAAUGAUCUUAAUAUACCAAAUUGAGAAAGAAAAAAAUACAAAAUAAAUAUGUGAUUGUAUAUAUAGACGUUUUAUGAAUAUAUGUCUAGAGAUGUAUCACAUCACAUCACUGAAACAUAUAUUUUUGUAGUUUUACUUUUACUAUGUUUAGAUUGGUUAGAGAUGCAACUGUAGGUUAAUUGUUGUAAAUGUAGCUUUGUUUUUUUUUUCUCUGUAUAAAAUAUCUUAUAGUAUCUAAAUAUUUAAUAUAACUGUUUUGGAAAAAGACUCAAAUAUGAACAAACACAAAAUAUUUCGAGAGGUAUUACUGGUAAAGUCUUAUUGGUAAAUCAAAGUCUGGAGACAUUACCAAUUCACAUACAUAUUUUGGUAGAGUAACUAUUAAGUUUAAAAUUAUAUUAUCGAAUUACAGUUAAACCUUUAUAAAUUAAUACUCGAUAAAUUAAUAAUCUUUACAAAUUAAUAAAUUCUUCCAGUCUCGAGUUGGGACCAGUGUAAAAAGUGACACAAAUCGAUAAAUUAAUAAGAUAAUAACUUUUUUGAAAGUCCUAUGUAAAUAUAUGGUCCCAUCAAUAUCAUAAAUUAAUAAUUGUAUAAAUGUAUCAAUUAUAUAUAUACAUUAUAUGUAAGAAAUUUUUUUGAAAUAUAAUUCUAAUAAUUUUUUGCUUAAAUUUGUAUUUAUUCUUAUUUAAAAUUUAGAUUUAGUAUUUUACUGUAUCAAAAACUUUUAGUGUUGUUUUCUAAACAUGAUAUUAUGUUUUACUUGUAAUUGAUUUUUGAAAGAUAUUUUCUAGAAUGAAAAAAAUCCUUUAGAAAUUUUUGAAAAGUUACUAAAUUAGGAAAAUCUCUCUAUAAAUUAAUAAAUAUUAAUUUAUCGAUAAAUUAAAACUUCUCUAAAUUAAUAAAAUAUUGCAGUCCCAACAUUAUUAAUUUAUAGAGGUUUUACUGUAUAUGUAUUUGUUGUAACUCACGGGUUCAAUAGUGAUAAAGGUUAAUAUUUCUAUAUCAUGAUUGAAUUUGAUUCCCAUUGAACAUUAACUAUGCAGAUUAAUGGCGACAAACUAACGGUAAUCUUUAACAUCGGUGUUGAUAAAUCAUGACGAAGUGCUUAUGUGAAAAGUCGUUCACAAAAUCGUUUACCAUAGAAAAAUGAAAAGAUUUAAGAUUUGUUAAUCAUGAAUAUUAAGACAAUUAUUUAUUACAAAAUUCAAAAUUUAAGGUAUUUUCUAAUGAUAGCGUAACAAAUUAAAAAAAAUACUUAUUUACACAGAAUAUUAUUUAUACUAUUUUUUUUCUAACAUGAUUUUAGUCUUAACCAAAUAAGUUUGUAAGUUCAAAAAUGUGUUGGUUAUCUAUUAUAAAAAUUACAAAAUUUGAUUGAAAAAAUAAUUAUAAUGCUGAUUGUAACUAUUUUCGUAAAAAUGCUAAUUGCAAUAUAACUUUUCUAUAAGAUUAUUUUUUUAUAUAGCUUUUAUUUAUUUAUAAGUCUAAUUAAAACAACAUGUACCCAAAAUAAACAAAACACAAAUCAUAGUCAAUGGUGUUUAAAAACUAAUGUCUCAAACCAAGAAACAUAUCAAUCUCCUUUAGUAAUAUAAUUAUAAUCUUAAAGUUAUUUGUUCACAACUUUUUAAAGAGCUUAAUUUAAGUUUAUGAUUUGAAUCUAAAAUUGAGAGGUGGGCAGGACAAAGUGAGAUGUCGAGACAAAAAUACAGAUAAGCUAAUUUGUGCGGUGGAUUUUACACAAACUUUGUCAGUCACGAGACUCUUUCUUAUUCUAAUGGCACCAAACCCUAGUUUUGUUCUUUUCUUCUUUACUUUUUUAUUUAUCAUAAAUAUUUUAUUUGGAUUCUCAUACUCUCAUAUGUCUCUUUCCCUAUUGACCAUAUCUUUUUAUCUCAUCUCUUCCCUUUCUUGUGAUAUAACUUUUUACUCUAUUAUUAUGACAAGUCGGGGCUAGAUAUGGUUGUAGUCCAAUGAUCUUAUUAUUUGCUAGACUAUAGAUUUAUAUGUAUUGGACACACACACUUGAUAAGACCAUAUUUUAUUGAUUCUAUUAACUAGUAAGCACUAAAUAUAGUCUCGAUAUUUUUAGUCUUUUUUUUUUUUGUCAUCUGAAAUUUAAUUAAUAAAACUUGUUGUGGAAACAAGGAGAGAUACAUAUGCCCAAACAAGGGAAACUAAAGCUGGCGGACAAAAGAAAAGUCCCCAGAAACUAAAGCCGGCGGAAUACAUGAUUUCCCCGGAAACUAAGCCCUGUGAAAGGGAAGUUAAAAACAACAGAAUUACCAAACAGAAAAUUCGAAUCGAAAGAGGACGAUGCUAUAAACUAAGAACAGAGGAAAAAGGCUAAAAUCCUAAGGGAAGCGAUAAACCAAAGAAUUUCUCGAUAUUUUUAGUCUACAAAUCAUAAUUUCUUUUACGAUUCAAAAUUAUAUAUUUUCGACAAAUAAUUUCUAUUAUUUUAUCUAAAAAACUCGGAUAAUUAGUCGGGUACGGAUUAGGUUAUGAAAAUACCUUCGUAAAACCUUAUAAUAUGAUAUUGUUUUCCGGAUAUUCGAGUGGGUGUUCUGACCUCAAAUGAAGAUAAAUCCCUAAAACCUUGUAAGUUGUAACAUGGUUUUAGGGAAUCAUGUUAAUUUUUUUGGCAGGAUAGGGAAUCAUGUUAAUGGCAUUAACUAAUAGUGUGUACCUAAUUAGUAAAGACAUGUCUAUUAAGAGAAAAUUGACUAAACCGGACAAUUUUGGUUAGACCGGAUAAAGACCAUGUGGUCCAUUUAGCCUUAGUGAUCAUAUGUAUACUCGAUCUAGUUGUAAGUUGUUGUCAUGUAGCUAACUUCAGAAUCUUACUCACUAACACUUCGAGUUUCUUCUCAUUGGCACAAAACUUAACUCCAUUCUCUUUUUCUCUCUCUCUUCUAUCUUUCACCAAAAUGCCAUAACUCUCUCUUCCCCUAUAUACCAAAAAUUAAUCUGUAUCUCUCUAUCCAUCAAGAGAGAGCAUCACAAUGGGCAAACAGAGAAGAACCAUGAUCUCAUUUACUCUGUUUCUCACAUUGACAAUGAUGUCAUCACUCAUCAAUGGCGAUACCGACUCAAUUCAACUAAACGACGACGUUUUAGGACUCAUCGUCUUCAAAUCAGACCUCAACGACCCAUUUUCACACCUUGAGUCAUGGACCGAAGACGACAACACUCCUUGUUCAUGGAGUUACGUCAAAUGCAACCCCAAAACAUCUCGAGUCAUCGAGCUUUCUCUCGACGGUUUAGCCUUAACCGGAAAAAUCAACCGCGGAAUCCAAAAGCUUCAACGUUUAAAAGUACUCUCACUUUCCAACAACAACUUCACCGGAAACAUCAACGCUCUCUCAAACAACAACCAUCUCCAAAAGCUAGAUCUUAGCCACAACAAUCUCUCCGGUCAAAUCCCUUCUUCUCUCGGUUCAAUAACCUCCUUGCAACACCUUGACUUAACCGGAAACUCCUUCUCCGGUACACUCUCUGACGAUUUGUUCAACAACUGUUCCUCUCUUAGAUAUCUUUCUCUCUCCCACAACCACCUCGAAGGUCAAAUCCCAAGUACUCUGUUUCGAUGCUCUGUUUUAAACAGUCUCAAUCUUUCAAGAAACCGUUUCUCCGGUAACCCUAGCUUCGUCUCAGGAAUCUGGAGACUUGAGAGGUUAAGAGCUUUAGAUCUAUCUUCUAACUCACUUUCUGGUUCAAUACCUUUGGGGAUACUCUCUCUACAUAACUUGAAAGAGUUGCAACUACAGAGGAAUCAGUUCUCUGGAGCAUUGCCUUCAGAUAUUGGACUCUGUCCUCAUUUAAACAGAGUUGAUCUAAGUUCCAAUCAUUUCUCUGGUGAACUUCCAAGAACUCUUCAGAAGCUGAAAUCUUUAAAUCACUUCGAUGUAUCGAACAAUUUGCUCUCCGGUGAUUUCCCGCCAUGGAUCGGUGACAUGACCGGUUUAGUACACUUGGAUUUCUCCAGCAAUGAGUUAACCGGAAAGCUUCCUUCUUCUAUUAGUAACUUGAGGUCUCUAAAGGAUCUAAACUUGUCUGAGAACAAACUCUCCGGCGAGGUACCUGAGUCUUUGGAAUCAUGCAAAGAGCUUAUGAUUGUUCAGCUUAAAGGCAAUGACUUCUCCGGUAACAUUCCUGAUGGUUUUUUUGAUCUUGGUCUUCAAGAAAUGGAUUUUUCGGGUAACGGUUUAACCGGUUCGAUCCCAAGAGGCUCAAGCAGGCUUUUCGAGUCACUCAUAAGGCUCGAUCUUUCGCAUAACAGUCUCACUGGAAGUAUACCUGGUGAAGUAGGACUCUUCAUCCACAUGAGAUACCUUAAUUUAUCAUGGAACCAUUUCAACACAAGAGUUCCUCCUGAAAUUGAGUUUCUACAGAACUUAACGGUAUUGGAUCUUAGGAACAGUGCACUGAUUGGUUCGGUUCCUGCUGAUAUAUGUGAGUCUCAGAGUCUUCAGAUACUUCAACUGGAUGGUAACUCACUAACCGGUUCUAUACCGGAAGGAAUCGGAAACUGCUCUUCUCUUAAAUUGUUGUAAGUCACUGUUUCUUGUAUACAUUUUUGCUUCAUUGCAAAUGUUUUCGUAUAUUGAUUACAAGUUUUCUUGUUGCAGGAGUUUGUCUCAUAACAAUCUUACCGGUCCUAUUCCUAAAUCUCUUUCAAACUUACAAGAGCUCAAGAUUUUAAAGCUAGAGGCUAAUAAGCUUAGUGGAGAAAUACCGAAAGAGCUUGGGGAUUUGCAGAAUCUGUUAUUGGUUAACGUUUCGUUUAACCGACUUAUCGGAAGGUUACCAUUGGGAGAUGUGUUCCAAAGCUUAGACCAGAGUGCUAUACAAGGAAACCUAGGUAUUUGUUCACCGUUGUUGAGAGGUCCUUGUACACUGAAUGUUCCAAAGCCUCUUGUCAUCAAUCCAAACUCCUACGGGAAUGGGAACAAUAUGCCUGGAAACCGAGCAAGCGGUGGUUCUGGAACAUUCCACCGCAGAAUGUUCCUGAGUGUUUCAGUGAUUGUAGCAAUAUCAGCUGCGAUUCUCAUCUUCUCUGGAGUCAUAAUUAUAACGCUGCUUAACGCGUCUGUUAGAAGACGGCUUGCAUUUGUAGACAAUGCGUUGGAAAGCAUUUUCUCGGGGUCUUCGAAAUCAGGAAGAAGCUUAAUGAUGGGUAAACUUGUUCUGUUAAACUCAAGAACUUCACGUUCCUCGUCUUCGUCUCAAGAGUUCGAAAGAAACCCAGAGUCACUUCUCAACAAAGCUUCAAGAAUCGGUGAAGGGGUUUUUGGAACAGUCUACAAAGCACCUUUAGGAGAGCAAGGGAGAAACUUGGCUGUUAAGAAACUUGUCCCGUCUCCGAUUCUUCAAAACCUAGAAGAUUUUGAUCGCGAAGUUCGGAUAUUGGCGAAAGCGAAGCACCCUAAUCUAGUAUCGAUCAAAGGGUAUUUCUGGACACCGGACUUGCAUCUUCUGGUAUCAGAAUACAUCCCCAAUGGAAACUUGCAGUCCAAGUUACACGAACGAGAACCCUCAACACCGCCUCUUUCUUGGGACGUAAGAUACAAAAUCAUCCUCGGUACAGCUAAAGGACUCGCUUAUCUCCAUCACACAUUCCGUCCAACAACCAUCCACUUCAACCUGAAACCGACAAACAUCCUCCUCGACGAGAAAAACAACCCGAAAAUCUCUGAUUUCGGGCUAUCUCGUCUCCUAACAACACAAGACGGGAACACAAUGAACAACAACAGGUUUCAAAACGCUUUAGGCUACGUAGCGCCUGAACUAGAGUGUCAGAACUUAAGGGUCAACGAGAAAUGCGAUGUUUACGGGUUCGGGGUUUUGAUACUCGAACUGGUGACUGGUCGGAGACCGGUGGAGUAUGGUGAAGACAGCUUUGUGAUACUUAGUGACCAUGUUCGAGUUAUGUUAGAACAAGGGAAUGUGUUGGAGUGUAUUGAUCCUGUGAUGGAGGAACAAUACUCUGAAGAUGAGGUUUUGCCUGUCUUGAAACUUGCUCUGGUCUGUACUUCUCAGAUACCUUCGAAUCGGCCAACAAUGGCCGAGAUUGUUCAGAUCUUGCAGGUCAUCAAUUCUCCUGUUCCCCACCGUAUCAUGGAUAGUUUCUAAACAUCUUUGUGUUAUAGUUAAUUUUUCAUUAGCUUUUCUUUUUGCAAAUUUUACUUUGUCUGUGUCUUUUGUUGUGGUCUUUGUGUAGAGAUUGCUUAUUUCACAAUGCUACGCUUUCUGUUCCUUCGUUAUCAUUAUCGUAACAAUCAUUGACCAUUGCUAUCGUGACAUUAAUAGUUUUUUUCUUUUCUUUUAUGAGAAUUAAUUCUACAUGCAUUUAGCAAUAGUACAAUUACAAAUGUAGAACAAUUUCUCACAUUGAACAAUUAAAAACAUAUUAUAAAAAUAAUUAUAAAUUUAUCAUUCUAGAUUUAAUUUUCUUAUAUUUUUGGUUGCUAGUGUAAAUCUUUUAAAUUGCAAGAAUACUCGACUUUCUAAAGGUUUCAAGGUAGUGACGGAUUCAAACUUUUUAGUAAGAGCAAAAUGUUAAAAACCAAUUUUUUUUUAUAAAACUCACUAAAAGAGUAUAUCAUAAAUACUAAUAACACCCUAAAAUGUUUUUUUUUGGAAUUAAUUUUUCAUUGCUUUCAAAUUUAAUUUAAAUAACAGAAAGUAUAUUUUGUUUUAGGUAAGAUAUAUCAUAACAAACUUGUACUUGUGGUUAAAUUAAGUUGGGUAGAUUGCAUUCAACGUAUUCUAAUCAUGUAUUUUUCAAAUAGAUAUGGUUCUGAAAGACCUAUGACCAAAUCUUAUCCUUUAUCUUUCUCUGUUGAUGUUAAUAGAAUUGUCUGUCUUUUUUUUUUUGGGAAUAGUUCUUGAUUUUGUGUGUAGAACAAGAAAAUGUGAAACUGUCAUUUUAUAAGCAGUAAAAAAUAAUUUGACUUGCUAAAAAGAUAAAGAUAGUUAUGAAAAUGACUAAAGGGUUUAUUAUGUCCCAUGUGAAAAAUGAAUUUUAGCCGUUUGGACGAAUAAUUUCUCUUGAUAAUAUAUUAUUUUUUACGUGACGUAUAAUUCAUCAAAUACAUUAACGCAUUCUUUUUUGUACCAUAUUAUUUUUUAUAUAAAAUUUUUGAUCUGGAAUAAGUUUAUAUAUCCGUCAUAUAUAUGUGCAGUUUAUUGUUUUGGGGUUCUAGUAAUUACUUCUAUAUGAUCACUUAAUGCGUUAAAUAUUUUGAUAUAUCCAUUUACGCAAAUAUCAAUUGAUUCUUAAUGUUUUGUAAGUUGUAACCAUCUUGUAUGGGGUUAGCCCAAUGUGUUUGUAUCCACCAUAUGAUCCCUAAAUACUCAAUAAAAAUGAAAACCAUUCGACAAAAAAAUUAUCAAUUGAUUAUAUAUUUCGUUUUGCAAAUACUCUUCUGGUUUUUUCUAACAAGUUUUCCUAUGCGGUUUCUAAGUAAGUUAUGUGCUCUUCUUGUUGCAACUUAAUCCAAAGACAAAAAUGUAGUCAAUAAAUAAUCAAAAUGAGUUGGUUCAUGUAUUAGCUUUCUCUGAAAACAAUCUUUAUAAAAAAAUACGUUUGGAACAAUGUUUGAUAUAUGUUAUAUUUGAUUUAAUUAUUGUUGUCCGUCCAUUUUGGUUUUCUUUAUAAAGAAACACACUAAUUCAAAGCAUUCAAUUAAUACAAGGUGGGGUGGCUUAAAUCGGGUAAGAAGGACAGAACAAUAAUGUGGUACAUAUUAUUGUGAAAGGUUGUUUUCUUAUUAUCUUUUUUUUUUUGUAUUCGACGUCGUUUUCUAUCAUCUAAUAAAAAAGUUUCUGAUUCUUUUAUUUACUUGUAGGACAAAAUCUUUUGUCACUAAUUGAUUUCUUACACCGUAGCUUUCCAUCAAAUUGAAAUACACACACAAACACAAGCGCAUCACGUUUCACGGCUACAAUAAUGUUCUUUUAGAUUUUGUUAUUUUCCUAAAUACUGACGUAAAAGUCAUAUCCAAUAUAAUUGUUUUGUCUUUUCAAUUUCUUUUUAUGGGCAGACCCAAAUAUUAUGCAUAAACAUUAUAUAUUAGAAUAUAUUUUAGUUGUUAGUGAGCUAAUUAGGUUUUAUUGUAUGGCGUGUGGAAACGGCAUGCUUCCAUUAUAUGCGAAUGGUCUAAACCAUGUGUUUUGGUAUUCAAUUAUUAUAUAGACAAUUAGUUAGGCCUUGGCUUUUUUUUUUGCGAUUAUGAUAUAAUCUUAUGAACCUGAUAAAGAGAAGAUCUAAUCUUAUGAACCUGAUAAAAAGAAGAUCUAAUCUUGGUUCAUUAAAAUAAGGUAGUAUUAAAUUUGUACGGAAGUUGAUAAGUUGUAUACCUAAUUUUUUUUUUUUUGGUAAAAUGUAAAGUAUUUAGGGUAAAUUAGCUAAAUAACCAAUUCCUGAAAAGAAAUUAAAUAUCUAGCACCAUAAGUUGCCGAAUUCAGAGAGUAACGCAUGAGGUGUGUGUAAUGACAACACACUCUUUCACCACACACUCCUUCACCCAAAUUCUAUACAUAUCAUCAUAGAAAAAUAGAAUAGUAUAUAUUUGUUCAAACCAAAACUUUGAUUCCGAUGAAUCCAAAUAAUCAAUUAUAUAUUUUUUGAUGGAAUGAUACUAAACCCUAAGAUAAUAUAUAGGGAACCUAAGGGUUUUAAUCUAAAACAAUGAUUAAAUCACUUAACAUCCUUAAUCAAAACAAACAAUUCAUUUUAAAACGUAUAUAGUACAAUGUAUACGUAAAUAGUAUAUUCACAAAAUAGAAUAGUAUCUCUCAAAAAUCUUCCAAAAUCAAAAUCGAUUUAUUGGCUAUUUCCCUUUAGAAUUUCCAACAUCGUAAACCCUUUAUCGCUUCUAGAUCUAAGAAAUCCAUAACAUGAUCGUCAAUUUGUUGUUCAUAAUUCUCAAUUUUAUUUUCCAUGGAUUUACAAAUUAAAAUUCUCAUAUGAACUUUGAUGGGAAAGUGAAGAUUAAUUUGACAUAAUUGGCGAAAGGAUUUCACCGGAUUUUUCUAGUAUUCUCUGGCUGACGAAGAAUAAAUAUAGUCAGAGUAUUAUUGCGCUAAUGGUGUUGUUAUAAAAUAGAGUAAAUCAGAUUUGAGUGAUCCUAUCGACAUUUAAGAUUGAUCCAUAUAUAAUUUUGACUUUUGUUUAGUUGAUGGUGAUGUAUGUAAAGAUUCGUAAGAAAAGGGCGAGAUAGAUGAAAGGAGCACACUUCAUAAAAGAGAAGAAGAUUUAUUCACAAGGAUGUCUUUUGAAGAAGAAAGAAGAAGGAGAGCGAGAUGUACAAACACAGUAAGAAAAGGGAGAGAGAGAUGAAAGGAGCACACUUCAUAAAAGAGAAGAAGAUUUAUUCAAUAGGAUGUCUUUUGAAAAAGAAAGAAGAAGGAGAGCGUGAUGUACAAACACAUGAUAGUAUUGUCAAUAUUAUAUAUAUUAUACAUAAUAUUUUUUUCUAUUGUUUGAAGUGUUAGUUUACCAAUUAAAGUAUUUUUGUUGGUUAUAUUUGCCAAUUCCCCAAGUAUUUAUACCAUUUUCGAAGUUUCGACAUAAGUUAAAAAGGAUAUAAGAACCGGAAAAAUAACGAAAAUCUACAGAAAGAACAGACAAUGACAAAACAACAAAGGAGGAAAACAUAUGUAUAGAGCGAAAACAAAAGAAGAAACACCGAUUCCAAAAUGCCAAACUCGGAAAUUUGCGUGAUUUCCUCCACAACUCCAAGAAGCUGGAGUCUCAUCCUAAGUUGUAUACCUAAUUUGUUUACAGAAGUUAUCUAUGGUGCUAAAAAAAAUGGUUUUAACACUUGAAAAAAAAGCUUUUACUAAAGUUAUAUAUAUAUGGUUUAGUGGUUUUCUUUAGUGUAUGAGUCGAUAUGAGAGGACAGUAAAAGAUAAAUCAUUUUUUAUAUAAAAAAGCUGUUGAAUAUUAUUUGUUAUUUGUGAUAAACAAUUUGAAUAGUAAAACAUGUUACAUAAUUUCUUUAGCUAGUGCUUAUAGAAAAUUGAUUUUAAAACAAAAUAAAGAUAAAAGUUAGUUUCUAUUCAAAAAAUUGAAAAUGAUUGCCACAUCAUUUAAAACUAAAAGUUAAAAAUUAAAGGUAAAAUUGGUUUUUUUUUUUUGAAAUCGCUUUAAUUGUAAGGGUAAAAGUGGAUAUUUGUUUUUACUGAAAUCAUGAGUAUGAAAAUAACAGCAAUUUUUUUUGGAUAAUAAACGCACAUUUUAAUUAUUAUGUGUAUUUUUUCCAACCAAAAAUAAUUGAGUAUUCAACGUCUAGAUAAAAAAGAGACUGAGAUUUUUUUCGACUUUUUCUCCAAAAAAAACGAAGUUCCAAAAAUAAUGAUGAAAUUAGUAGUGGUAAAUGGUCAAUUUAAAUCCGUUGCUACAAAUCAAAAUUUAAAUCUGUAAAUUAACUAAAUCUAUUAAAUUAUUAAUGAAAACCAAUGUAAAAAGAAUCUCAACUUCUCAAGCAUACUUUGUUUCAAAUAUUCUACUAUUCAAAAUACUCCCUUAAAUCAUAACCUGAAACUCACAUAAGCUGAUCCAAAAUUGAAUUUCAUUCCACAAUUUUUCUCUUAAACUUCAUAUAAACAUGUCAGCAUGUUACACGGCCUUUUUUGUCUGCUUCAUAUAUCUCUCAAGUGUGUGUACUACACAAUAACAUUUCCUGAAAAUCUAACUUUCACCCACUCACCAUCUUUUCUUCUCUCUUUCCCCAUCAAAAAAAACAAAAACAAAACACAACUCUGUUUCUCUCAUCUUAAAAUUCAUGUAAAAAAAAUCUACAAAUCAAAGAGAGAAACAGAGUAAAGAGAAAGAGAAGAAGAUGGCGCGGAAAUACUUUCAGAGAGAAGUUUUGCCGGUAACGGCUUUGGUAAUAAUGGAAUGUGCAAACGUUGGUUUAAACACUCUGUUUAAAGCAGCAACUUUGAAAGGCAUGAGCUUUCAUGUCUUCAUCGUUUACUCUUAUGGUCUCGCUGCUCUGCUUCUUCUUCCUUCUCUGUUUUGCUCUUUCAGGUCUCUCUCUCUUCUUGAUUCGAUCUCGAUACUAAAUUUUUCAUCUAAUCUUGAAAAUUGGCUAAUCGGUUCUUGUUUAAUUUCACAGAUCAAGAACUCUUCCACCGAUGAAUUUCUCUAUUCUCUACAAAAUCGUGCUCUUAGGGAUUAUUGGGUAAAAGUCUCAUCUCUUGAAAUUUUCUACCAAAUAAAAAAUUCUCAGUUCUUGAAAUUUUUCUUUAAUUUCAAGCAAUACCUGAGUGUUGCUGAAAUAGGUUAAUUUGAUCUUUAAUUACCUGAUUAGAUCAAAUUUUUUGCAUGAGUGUUACUGAAAUUCUCAGUUUUUGUUUACCAAAAUUUAGAGAAUAAAAAGUAUAGAAAGAGACAUUUGGCUUAAAGUUGGUUCCAAAAGCUGCAACUUUACUGCAAAAAUCUAAAAACAUUAUUAUUAUUAUAAACAAAAAUAAAUUCAAUUUUUGGGGGUUUAUUUAUAUGAUUUAAUCUUAGUAAAAAAAUGGAAUAUAUUAUUUGGUUUUGGUUAUAAAAUUUUUGAUUAAUAAAAGUGUGUGUUGACAAUGUAUAUAGAUGCUGUUCAUGAUUUAUUCUUAGUAAAAAGUGGAAUAUAUUAUUUUGUUUUGGUUAUAAUUAUUUGAUUAAUAAAAAUGUGUGUUGAUAAUGUAUAUAGAUGCUGUUCAAACAUAAUGGGAUACACAGGGAUAAAUUAUAGUUCUCCAACACUUGCUUCUGCAAUCAGCAACCUCACUCCUGCUUUCACCUUCUUGCUUGCAGUCGUUUUCAGGUUUGACAACAACAUUUCUAUAUCCUAUUUGACAUAUUCCUUUUACAUUAUCAAUUUACAAAAUUACCCUCCGUCCAUUAACUGUAUAUGGGCCUUAUUGUUUAGCCCAUGAGGUUAUGAUUUGAAAACGUUUGGUGUAAUGUUGUAGGAUGGAGAGUGUGUCUUUUAAGAGAACAAGUAGUGUGGCUAAAAUGUUAGGAACCGUUGUUUCUAUUGGAGGUGCAUUUAUAGUGACUCUUUAUAAUGGUCCUGUUGUGAUUGCUAAAUCGCCACCGUCUGUUUCUUUGCGAUCGCAAUCGACUAACCCUAAUUGGAUACUUGGUGCGGGUUUCCUUGCGGUCGAGUAUUUCUGUGUUCCAUUGUGGUACAUUGUUCAGGUCUGAACUCUAUAUGCAUAUAUAACAUAUAUGUCACUAUGUGAGUUUUUUGGUUUUCUGAUAGAAUCAUAUGUUCUCAAUAUUUUUUGUAGACUCAAAUCAUGAGAGAGUAUCCGGCCGAGUUUACCGUUGUUUGCUUUUAUAGCAUAGGCGUUAGCUUUUGGACCGCGCUAGUCACAUUGUUCACUGAAGGGAAUGACUUGGGUGCAUGGAAGAUAAAACCGAAUAUAGCUUUAGUGUCGAUCGUUUGCUCGGUGAGAAUAUAAUUACACUCAUGUGUUUUUCCCUAGAGAUUAUGAGUGUGAUUAGUUUUUUGACAAGCAAAAUGGUUUUAUUUUGGUUGAUUCUAUUUCUAUGUUUAGGGAUUGUUUGGAUCUUGCAUAAACAAUACUAUCCACACGUGGGCAUUGCGGAUCAAGGGGCCUUUAUUUGUUGCAAUGUUCAAGCCAUUGUCUAUUGCAAUUGCUGUUGCAAUGGGAGUUAUCUUCCUGCGAGAUUCUCUCUACAUCGGCAGGUACAAAAACAACUCACACUUUUAUUUAAAUAGUAACGGGUGAGUCCAAGAUUAGUUUGGGACUUGCGGUUAUGUUAGAACCAUACCUCAAAAAACUGUGGAAAAUAUUAACUAGUCAUUCUCUAAUUCUCAGCUCACUUUAACUCUUUUGGUUUCCUUUCUUUGCUUGAAUGAUGAUCCCAGCUUGAUCGGGGCAACGGUAAUAACAAUCGGGUUUUACACGGUAAUGUGGGGAAAAGCCAAGGAAGUGGCCUUGGUCGAAGAUGAUAACAAGGCUAACCACGAGGAGGCCAAUGAAGCUGACCUUGAUUCUCCAUCGGGUUCACAGAAGGCUCCUCUCUUGGAAAGUUACAAGAACGAUGAACAUGUAUGAGUAUCAUCAACUAGUGAAGAUCACGCUAUAUAUAUAUGUGUGAAAAAAUUCAUAUGUGAAUUGUCUUUGUAAUUUAUUUGAUGAGACAAAUGUGAUCUUUAAUUUUAGGAUCCAAGUGUUUUCUAAUCACAAUCUAACAAGUCCUUUUUAUAUCCUUUUUUUCUUAGUCUUUCACAUGAUUUACACUAGAAUGAUUCCAAUAUCCUUAAGAAUAAGACUAAUUCUUCACUUAAGAUUUAAGAACAUCUUUUAGUGAUAACUGAUAACUACAGGUUUUGGCGACCAAUUUUCAUUUGUUUUAUAGUCCUUGAUAGUGGUGACGAUAUGUCCUGGAUUUAAGACUUACUAUGAACUGGAAAAUUAAUUGCUCAUCAAGAAAAGAUAUUUAACCUAAAAAUCUCAAAAAUUAUCCUAAAAAUCUUUGUCCUCAUAACUAUAAUUAAGUUACUAAUUAACUAAUGGUUAGACAUUUUUUUUUUUUAACUAUAUAGUAAUAGUGUAAUAAUAAUUGUUGAAAGUGGUUUUUACUUUUACUGCGGUGGGAUGCAAAAGUAAGUUGAAGUUGAGAUUCUAAAGCUCCUAAAUUGGUCAAACCGUCAAACCAGAGUUUCAGAUUCAGACAAUCAAAAACAAAACAAAAAAAAUGGCUGGGAGAUUCUGUCAAAGAGACGGCGGGAUCAUGACGGCAAUGGUGGCGGUGGAGAUUCUGACAGAGUGUAGCCAAAGUAGUUGGAACAAUAGUUUGCAUUGUGGGUGCACUUGUGGCAACUCUAUACCAUGGCCCCAUCGUCUUCGCCGCAUCUAAGCCGUCCUUUUAUCUCCUUCAGCGUCUUUCGGCACCUCCCUCGCAACCGUCCAAUUAUAAUUGGGUCAUCGGGGGAGGUCUUCUGGGUUGAAUACACUCUCAUUGCCGUCGCUUACAUUGUUCAGGUAUAAAGAAAAUUAACAUUGUAAUACUUUGGUCAUACAAGGUAUAUCUAUUGAUUUAUUUAAUUUCUUCACAUUUUUGGUGGGAGUAGACACAUAUAAUGAGGGAAUAUCCGUCGGAAUUUGCCUUGGCACUUUCCCACAAUGUCUGCGUUUCAAUCUCUUGUGCAUUUGUUAGUUUAUUCGUGGAGGAGAACAAUCCUAGCGCAUGGAUUAUGAGAUCGAAAAUUAUGUUGAUAUGCAUCGUCGCAACGGUAUGGAAAUGUUUCUAUAUAUAGUUUUAAUCAAUGAUCUUAUUUUGUUAAAUUUGUGUAAAUGAUACAUUAGGGGGUGGUGAAUUCGACGAGCUAUGUUGUUGAAUCAUGGACAGUGCGAUAUAAGGGGGCUGUGUUCCUAGCAAUGUUCAGGCCAUUAUCUAUCGUAACCGCUGUCGUACUAGGGGCAAUAUUUCUAGGCGAUUCUCUCUAUCUCGGAAGGUGAAAGAAGAAUGUUUAAUAUAUCAAAAGAUGGAUCACCAAAUUAGUAUUAAUUACUCAUCUUGGAUUUUCACUUUCAGUUUUUACUAUCUAUAUUUGGCAGUGUGAUUGGUGGAACGUUGAUAUCAAUCGGUUUCAGUGUCCAUAAUUCAUUAUUUCAUAUAGCCAAUGGCUUUAGCGCUUUAGCCAAAUCCAGUGUUCUAAGGCAUAUUGGCAUGUUAGUAUAGAAAAGUUGUCCUUAUCUGAACAAAUUUUUAGUAAUGGAGGCAACGACCUUUGUGCAUGUGAGCUAUGUUAUGUACAAUAAAAAACGUAUCUGAAGUAGGUCUUCUUCGAAAACGACUCAGAAGAUUAGAUUCCAGGCAGUGGCAAAACAAGAAUUGUGACUGACUCUGAAAGCAGCUACACUUACGAGAUCAAAUGUUUAAAGGGAAUGGUUGAUUGGAUUUCUUUUGGCUCGAAGAGGCAUACAUAUAAAUUUUGUGAUGAUGCCUUAGCCAAACUAAGUUUUAAGAUAUAUUUAGAGAUAUGACUAUAUGAGUUUUGUAGAUUGAGUAUUGUCUAAUCUAAUUUGUGUGAGAAAUCUAGUGAUGAAAAUUGGCCGGUGAAUUUUAAACGCGUGUAUAUAUCAAUCUCUAUUCUCUAGUGGUCCUUUUCUAUAGUACAUUGGUCCAAAUAAUAGGGAAUCUUAUAAUAAAUUCAAGAGACUGACAAUUAUCUUAUAAAAAAUUCAAGAAAUUUUAUUUCAAUAUUUUAUAAAUGCAUAAAAUUUGUAUUACAAUCAAAUACAAUAUUUAAGUUAAAAAUAUUAUACUGAUGAAUACUUAUAUAUUAUUAUGAAUAUUCAUUUAUUAUAUACUUAACUCUUUUCUUUUGUAUUUAAAAUUAUUUUCAUUUAUUAUAAACAGAUUUGAAUUGAAUGAUAUUUUUAAUACAUUUUAGUUUUAAUCAUUUAUUGUUUUGCUCAUGUAGACAUCUUAGAUGGAGAGAGGACUACCAAAUUAUAUAUAUGAUUCAUUUAUUAUAUACUUAACUCUUUUCUUAUGUAUUUAAAAUUAUUUUCAUUUAUUAUAAACAGAUUUGAAUUGAAUCAUAUUCUUAAUACAUUUUAAUUUUAAUUUUAAUCAUUUAUUGUUUUGUUGAUGUGAACAUCUUAGAUGGGGAGAGAACUCCCUAAUUGUAUAUAUAUGAUUGGCCCAAAGAAUAUGGAAUCUUAUAAUAAACUCAAGAAACUAACAAUUAUUGGACCCAUAAAUUGACAUUUCCUUUUACUUGUAACAUAAAGAAAAGUAACAAAGGGAUAACAAAUUAAAGACUCACAUUCCACAACAAAUUUUUCUACCAAUGCCAAUAAUGGCCGGAACCGCAAGUCCUUGGCGGAGAGAGGCCGUGUUCUUGACGGCAAUGCUGGUGGUCGAAACCAGCGUCGUCGGAAUAAGUACUUUGUUUAAAUUUGCAACUUCAAAGGGACUCAACAUUUAUCCUUUCCUCGGCUAUUCUUAUCUUCUUGCUUCUCUUCUUCUUCUUCCUUCUCUUUUCUUCACUAACAGGUUUCUAAUAUCUUUAAUCUUUACAAGACCAUUUUUCUUCUUCUUUGUCAAAAUCUCUUAAAACCAUUUAUAACAAUUCUUUUGUAUUGAUUUGUAUGUUUUUGUUUUACAGGUCAAGUUCACUUCCUCCACUAAGUGUCUCAAUACUUUCAAAAAUUGGACUUCUUGGAUUUCUAGGGUAAUAUCCAAAUAACACAUUCCUUACUCCAAUUUCGAAUAUGUAACUAGCUUCCACUAAAUGUUGCUAAUAUAUGAUUUUUGGCUGGAAAAAAAAAGAACAGAUCAAUGUAUGUGAUCACAGGAUACAUAGGCAUCGAAUACAGCAGCCCAACCUUAGCCUCCGCCAUAAACAAUAUCACUCCUGCUCUUACCUUCAUCCUCGCCAUUAUCUUCAGGUUUUUGUUUUCUUUGACUAAUUAUUAAGUUUUUGCUGAUUUCAAUUUUAGUUUUUCGGAUUAUUCUAGUCAACAAGUCGAAAUUGUAACCAUUCCAUUUCCGGCUAAUUUAAUUUUAAUAAUUAUAAUAGUUUUUUAUGUUAACCGAAAUUAAUUAAACUCAAAAGAACUAAUCCCGAAAGAUAUUGUUUACAUAUGUGAUGAAGCCGUUCGCUAUGAAUUUUUCGUGCAUUAUAAUAAAGUUCUUUAGAAUAAUUACUUCAAAGUUCCCCUAUAAUUUUUUCAAUUCGACUAUUUUUUUUUCCAUAAAUCAUGUUAGUUUUCACUUCACUAUAUUCAACACUAUAGUUUGCUAACCAAUUCUUUACCACUAGCCGCCUUACCCCUAUCCCACAACUGUCUCAUACUCUUAUCAGUAACUAGGUAAAUAAUCUAUAUUUAUGGUAAAUGCGUUUAAUAUGUUCUUCUUUCUUUCUUUCAAUGCAUACAUUAAUUCAGGUUUUCGGCAUCUAUAUUUAUGGCAAUUGAUAUGAAGAUUUAAGUUACUAUCGCACUAUUGCUCAAUCUUGUGGUCCAAAUCAUACAAGGCUGUUUGCAUGAAUGAAAUAAAUGCGUAUUAAUUGUGUUUGAUCAUUGAUUAUUUCUUAGCCUUCUUUUGGAAUAAACACUUAACACACUAAAUUUCAUUUUGUGAAUAAAGAAUGGAAAAAGUAUCUUUCAAAGAGAGGAGUAGUCUAGCCAAAUUGAUGGGGACGAUAUUGUCACUGAUAGGUGCACUUGUGGUGAUUUUCUACCACGGUCCACGUGUCUUCCUCGCAUCUUCUCCGCCCUAUGUAAACUUCCGUCAGUUUUCUCCACCGUUGUCAUCUUCAAACUCCGAUUGGCUCAUCGGUGGAGCUCUUCUAACCAUGCAAGGCAUAUUCGUUUCUGUUUCUUUCAUUCUUCAGGUACCAAUUUUUUUUCCUUAUAUAUAGUAGAAAUAAUUUUAAAUUUAUGGUUAAGUCAAAAAUUAGUCAUUAAAAAAGGUGGAAACAUACGAACACAUGGUUUAGAGUAGACCUAGGCGUUCAGAUAUUUGGUUCGGUUCUAGUUCGGUUCCAAUUCUUUCGGCUCUCGAGUUUAGGAUUCAUAUAGGAACUAAAACAGUUUUGGUUUGGUUUGGGUUCGGGUUCGGUUUUUUCGGUUCUGAAGUUUAAUUAGGACCCAUUCGGAUAUUUAUUUCAGAUAUUUUUUAGUAUUUUCGGAUAUUUUCGAGUAUUUUUGGAUAUUUUGGUAUUUUUAUAUAUUUUUCAACUAUAUUUUCGGUAUUUUUGAAUGUUCAAUCUAAAAAUAACUAAUAUUUUUGGAUAUAUAAUCAUAUUUAGAUAUUCUCGGAUACCCGAAAUAUUUCAGUUCGGUUCGGGUUCGGUUCCAAUUAUUUUGGUUCUAGAAUUUAGGAUUCAUUUGAGUAUUUUACCAUUUUGGUUUGGCUUCGGAUUCGGUUCUUUUUGCUUUGGUUCCAGUUCGUUUUUUUUUGGUUCGGGUAUUAUGCCCAUGCAUAGAGGGGUGAACUUUGGUUUUUGGUUGGAGAUGAUGUUAUAAUACAUGUGGGAAAACACAUAUCUUCAUUUAGUAAACAUCAUUUCAUUCUAAUAUUUAUUCUAUAUAAUGAUUUUUGGACAGGCACAUAUAAUGAGUGUAUAUCCAGCAGCAUUCAGAGUCUCCUUUCUUUACACUGUAUGUGUUUCAAUCGUGACCUCGACGAUUGGACUAGUAGUUGAAAAGAACAACCCAAGCGUUUGGAUCAUUCAUUUCGAUAUUACUUUGAUUACAAUUGUUACCAUGGUAUGUUAUAUAUAUAUAUAUAUUUUAAAGAUAUCAAAAUAUCUACUUUUUGAUCUUAACACUUUUUUAAAAAUAAAAUAUUUCAGGCAAUAGUAACUUCAGUAUACUAUGUGAUUCAUUCAUGGACAGUACGACAUAAAGGACCUCUGUACUUAGCCAUAUUUAAACCUUUGUCCAUUUUAAUAGCAGUGGUUAUGGGGGCCAUUUUUCUCAAUGAUUCUCUCUAUCUCGGAUGGUAUUAAUGAAUCAAUAGUCUUCAUAAACAUAUCUAUAAACAAAAACAUCUACUCACCUUCGAUUUUGUCCUUCGUUUUGCAGUUUGAUCGGAGGAAUUUUGAUAACAUUAGGCUUUUACGCUGUGAUGUGGGGCAAAGCAAACGAAGAGAAGGAUCAGUUAUCAUUUUCAGAAAAAGAGAAAACGCCUCUUCUAUUAAACCGCAAAAACGACCAAGUUUAAAAAGAAAAAGAAUAUAGACAAUAAAACUACUAAUAGUUAACAAAUACUGUUAUUAAUACCAUAUUUAUAAAAUUGUCUUAUGUCUCUAUGAACCUAGGAGUUGGAAAAAAAUGUGUGUAUUUAGAUUUUUUUUUCAAAAUACUCCAACAUUUAUAAAUACGAGUUAACAUUUUUCCUUGACUCCUUUGGAACAUAUGAAAAGCUUAAAUUGAUAUUCUUUGAAGCAAUGAUAGGUAACUGCACCAAGUAUAUAUCCCGGUAUAGUCACACAUCCCAAGUUUAGUGAACUACACGAAUUAUGUGUAUUGUAUGCUAAUGUAUACCAAUUAGUAACAUAUGAUCAACACCAUCAUAUUCCUUUUACACCGUUUGUCAAAUCCAUUUUUAAAACCACUUUUGGUGAAUUACGCCGUAGAAAAACAAGUCUAACACAUUGUAACAUUUUGAAGUGGUAAUAAAAUUUCUGAUUCAAGGUUUCAAUAUCUAUAAUUAUUGAAGUGGUUUCAAUAUCCAUUAUUGGAUGAUCAUAUUUUGGCACAACUGUUUUCAAGUCUGCGCAAAGAAUAGGGAAUCUUAUAAUAAAUUCAAGAAACAACAAUUAUUGGACCCACAAUACACCACUUCCCCUCUAACUAGUACUAUCAUAAAUGAAAAGCAAACAAAUUAAGCGAUAACAAAUCAAAGACUCACAUUUCAACACCAAACCUUUCUACCAUUUCCAAUGGCCGGAGCAGUAAGCCUUUGGCGGAGAGAGGCCGUGUUCUUGACGGCGAUGCUGGCAGGCGAAACCAGCAUCGUCGGACUAAGUACUCUGUUUAAGGUAGCAACUUCAAAGGGACUCAACAUUUACCCUUUCCUCAGCUAUUCUUAUCUUCUUGCUUCUCUUCUCCUUCUUCCUUCUCUGUUCUUCACCAACAGGUUCAAAUAACUUUAAUCUUUCUAUGACCAUUCUUUUGUAUAGAUUUUUAUUUAAUUUGUAUGUUUUAAUACAGGUCAAGAUCACUUCCUCCACUAAGUGCCUCAAUACUCUCUAAGAUUGGACUUCUUGGCUUUCUAGGGUAAUAUCCAAAUACAACAUUCCUUCUUCCAAUAUUUUUUAUGAAAUUAUCAUCCACUAAACUGUUGCUAAUAUAUGAUCUUUGGCUGAAAAAAAUUCAAAACAAAAAAAGAACAGAUCAAUGUAUGUUAUUACAGGAGGCAUAGGCAUCGAAUACAGCAACCCAACCUUAGCCUCCGCCAUAGGCAAUAUUGUUCCUGCUCUUACCUUCAUCCUCGCUGUUAUCUUCAGGUUUUAUUUUAAUUCAUUUUCCUAAAAGUUUUGCAGAUUAAUGUCUAACCAUCGAGUCGACAUUCUAACAAAGUUUCUGGCAUAAUUAGGUUAUUAGGCAACUUAAAUUGGAAGUAGUUUCUUUAAAUCAGUCACUUCAAAUUAACUUGUCCGAUGGUUUUAAUUCAGUUCAACGCAUUAUGUUGCUAACCAAUGCUUUUUUGCUAUCAGCCGUCUUACUUAAUAUAGAACUUAUGUUGCUAACCAAUACUUUUUGCUAUCAGCCGUCUUACUUAAUAUAGAACUUGAACUUUUUUUUCUACCAGAUGUACAUUUUCAAAUAUAUUUAUUUGGACCAUUUAAGAUAUACUAAUAAUAUAUCUAUGCGAGCAAAACGAACACUGUUAAUUUUAUCCGGGAAAUUAAAGACAAUAGAUUCAAGAAAGCGGAAUUUCUUAGUGGUCAAGAUAAGCUCAAAGAUCACUUCUAACUAGCUUGAGUAGCAAGUUCGGGUUUGUUGUAGAGUAAACUUAAGCCUAGGGUUCUUGAGUAGAGAAUUGUGGACCCUUUGGUUGGCCUAGCUCCCUAUUUAUACCUUCAGGGUGUCGGUUCUUCGAUAUGGCAUGUUUCCAUCAUCUUCGGAGGAGAAUAUUUCCAUUGUCCGAUUUGUUACUUUUUGUGUAGAUUCGAGUUUACCUUUCAAGAUUUUCCUCUCUAGCUAGUACCUAGGUCGGUCUCCGAGGUAAUCGAGGUCGAGCUAGUCAGGCUUAGGCCUCCAAAUCAGAUUCGCUAUUGGACCAAGUAGUUCAAAAUACUGAAUGGUUUAUUCUUGUUUAAAAUCAGGUUAAGUACUGGAUAGAGCUAAUUAAAUCACUCUCCUACAAUAUCCAAUGCGCUAUAUAGUAAUGUAUAAGAUCAUAGUUUAUAUAUAUAACAAUAACAUAUAGGUGAUAUCACGUACUUUAUAAACAUUUUACCUAACAUGAAUAAAUCUGCACGAAACUUUAUUUGAUUCAUUAGAUGUUUUCGUAAAAAAUAGUUAUUUAGGAAAAGUUUCGUGACCCCAAAACUAAACGAAAUCAUUCAUGUUCAAAUGAUAUGAAGUUAGCUUGUUACUACAUCACUAUAGCACAAUCUUGUGGUCCAAAUCUAACAAGGACGUUUGCGGUUUGCAUGAAUAUAAUAAAUUCAUAUAAACUGGUAUUUCUGUAAUCAUUUCUAUUGGAAUAAAACGUAACACAAUCAAUGUCAAAUUUUUAACAAAGGAUGGAGAAAGUAUCAUUCAAAGAAAGGAGCAGUGUAGCCAAAGUGAUGGGGACGAUACUGUCACUAAUAGGCGCAUUUGUGGUGAUUUUCUACCACGGUCCACGUGUCUUUGUCGCAUCUUCUCCACCAUAUCUAAACUUCCGUCAGCUUUCUCCACCGUUGUCAUCGUCAAAGUCUGAUUGGCUCAUCGGAGGAGCUAUUCUUACCAUACAAGGCAUCUUCGUUUCUGUUUCUUUUAUUCUCCAGGUACACCACUUUUUAUAAUAAAAAUAUAGUAGAAACUCUAUAAAUUAAUACUCGAUAAAUUAAUAAACACGAUCAAUUAAUAAAUUAUAUCGGUUCUAAGUCGGGUCAAUAGAAAAAUUAACCAAAAUCGAUAAGAUAAUAAGAUAAUAAAUUUUUUGAAAUCUCUAUGUAAAAAUAUGAUCUUAAUAAUAUCAUAAAUUAAUAAUCAUAAUAUCUUAAGCAUACUUUUUAAAAUAAUCUACUAUAAUAUGAAUUUAGUGUUGCUUGUCUUUUUUUAAAGUUUGAAUCUUGUUGAACUUCAUCUCUAAUUUUCUUUUUAUUGCAUCAAAAACUCCUAGUGUUGUAUUUUCGAUAUGCAUCUAAAAGUUGUGAAGAGUUCUAAACGCAAUAAUUGUUUUCUUACGUGUCACUAUUUCUAAAAGUUUCACAUUAUCGUCUUCAACUUCUUCAUCAACAUUAUAGACAGAAAUCACAAUUUCUUCUAAAUAUUCUAAAUUUUUUAGUGUGCUUUAUUUUCACCGGAAUAGUCGAGUAAGCAAUUGACAUUUAUUCUAUCCAAAAAAUAUAGUGUUAUAUUUUGCUUAAAUAUUUCUUUAAAUUAAUAAAUAUUAAUUUAUCUUAUAAAAUAAUAUCUAUUAAAUAAAUUAAUAAAAUUUUAUAGUCCCAACAUUAUUAAUUUAUAGAGUUUAUACUCUAGUUUCUAAACAUGUAUGAAUGCAUAGCAAACUAGACUGCUUGGAGAAAGCUACACAAAUUGACGUGGUUUAUAUCUUCAUUUAUUAAACAUCAUUUAAUUUAAUUUUAAUGUUUAUUGGAUAGACACAUAUAAUGAGAGAAUAUCCUGAAGCAUUCACAGUCUCCAUUCUCUACAUUCUAUGUAUUUCAAUCGUGACCUCAAUGAUUGGACUAGUAGUCGAAAAGAACAACCCAAGCAUUUGGAUCAUUCAUUUCGAUAUUACAUUGUUUACAAUUGUUACUACGGUAUGUUAUAUAUAUGUUAAAGAAAAUUAUCAAAAUAUUUUCUUUUUGAUCUUAACAUUAAUUUUAUUUUAUAUGUGUAAACUAUUUCAGGGAAUAAUAACUUCAGUAUACUAUGUGAUUCAUUCAUGGGCAAUACGUCACAAAAGACCUCUAUACUUAGCGAUAUUUAAGCCUCUGUCUAUUUUGAUAGCAGUGGUUAUGGGGACCAUUUUUCUCAACGAUUCUCUCUAUCUCGGAUGGUAUACUAAUCAAUAGUCUUCAUACACAUAUCUAUAAAGAAAAAAACCAUUAUGUUCAUUUUUGAUUUUGUCCUUCAUUUUGCAGUUUGAUUGGAGGAAUUUUGAUAACAUUAGGCUUUUAUGUUGUGAUGUGGGGCAAAGCAAACGAAGAGAAGAACAAGUUGUUAUCAUUUUCAGGAAAAGAGAAAACCCCUCUUCUAUUGAGCGGCAAAAACGACCAAAUUUAAAUGAAAAAAAAUUUAUAAUCAAAGGAGUUACAAACUCUGAAAUAGUCUCUUAUAUACAUAGCGUGCAAACUAUUAGUGUAUACUGUGUAUUGCUUUGUAUAUAACUUAGAAAAUGACUAUCUAAUUGUUUUUUAAGUUACGGGUACGUAACGACUAUCUAAAUUCGUUAGAUCACGACAUCUAACGAAUUUUGGUCGAUUUUAAGUAGUAUCGAUUUAAAGAUUUGUAAGUUAAUUAAGCAGCCAAAUAGAGGCAUUGGAAAACAAAUGAAAAUAUUUCUGAUAGUAACACUGGAGAGGUAGGACGAGGUAGGAUCAAUACAUGGUCAACCAUUUGCUUAAGAAAUGACUACAAAAGAAAAUAUAUAUUUUUACAAGAGAGAUUAAAUGGUUUGUUAACAUGAUCAUGUGAGUUUGGUGAACGGUUUUAUAGAAACAGAAACACUUUCUUUAAAAUUCUUGCAUUAUCGGUUUUUACUAUCACUAUAUUGUAAGUUUUGCAACAAUAAUGAUCUUUAAGAAAGAAAAAUUGUACUGAUACUUUUAAUUUUUUUUUAAGUUUCUUUGAACCUAGCAUGUAUAGAGUGGUUGGGAAAAGGAAACAAAGGUGUAGCUUUUUGAUUUCUUUUGUUCCUUGUACUACAAAAUUCAUACAUAAAUUCUCAAAUUCUAGAGAGAGAUUAAAUACUGAGUUAACACUUUUCCUCAACUCCAACAUAUGGAAACUUAAAUUGAUGUUUUAGGUUCGAUUAGUAACACAAAAUAUUAUGUAUUUUACCAAAAAAAAUAAAUGAUAAAGAAUACCAUAUUAAUUAAAAAUGAUAUAAAAUAACGAUAAAAUAUCAAUAUUAAAAUGAAAAUACAGUCUUAUGUCCUUUUUAGUGCCGUUUUAUGAUUGGUAAAAACGAUAAAUCUUAUUCAUUUUUCACCAAAAGAAUAAAGAAUAUUAUAAAGUCAACAAACGAUAAUUAUUGGACCUACAUAAUGCUAUUCUUUAUAUUUGUAACAUCAAGAAAAGCAACAAAAAGAUAAUGAAUUAAAGAAUCACAUUUCAUACAACCUUUCUAUCAUUUUCCAAUAAUGGCCCGGACAGUAAGUCUCUGGCGGAGAGAGGCCGUGUUCUUGACGGCCAUGCUGGCGACAGAAACCGGCGUAGUCGGAAUAAGUACUUUGUUUAAAGUAGCAACUUCAAAGGGACUCAAUCUUUACGCUUUCCUCGGCUAUUCUUAUCUUCUUGCUUCUCUCCUUCUUCUUCCUUCUCUGUUCUUCACCGACAGGUUUCUAGUAACUUUAUGAGUUUAUUUUCAUAAACAUUUGGUGGUAUUGAUUUCAUUUAUUUAUUUUUUGUUUUUCUUUACAGGUCAAGAUCACUUCCUCCACUAAGUUUGUCAAUACUUUCUAAAAUAGGACUUCUUGGAUUGCUAGGGUAAAAACUCUUACUAACGCAAUCUUUUUUCCAAUCUUAAGUAUGAAAUUAUGUUCCUAUUUGCUAAACAUGUGAUUUUUUGGUGGACAAUCUAAUAAAUGGUUUUGGCUGACAAUAAAAAUGAACAGAUCAAUGUAUGUGAUCACAGGAUACAUAGGCAUCGAAUACAGCAGCCCAACCUUAGCCUCUGCCAUUAGCAAUAUCACUCCUGCUCUUACCUUCAUCCUCGCCAUUAUCUUCAGGUUUGAUAUCUAUAUUUUUUUUUCCAAUUAUUUGCAGAUUUCAGAUUGUUCUAAAAGCAAACUAUUCUAGUUCAGGUGUCGAAAUCGAAACAUUUUCUUUCCCGGGCACAAUUGGCUAAAUAAGUCAACUUAAAAUUGAAUAUUGUUUUUUUAGUUCACCAAAUUAAGUUUUUUAAAGUCGGGUCAUGUUACUAUGUUAGGUUUUACAAACCAAUAUAUUUUGCUAACCAAGCUUUUCCUAAUUUGGUAAUUCCUAGUUGCCCUAUGCGGCUAUGCUACCCACUAUCUCAGAUAAAUAUACUGUAUAAACGUACUGUAUAGUGAAUUAGGUAAACGACGAGUAGUGAAAAUUUAAUUAUAAAUAAAUCCAACUCUUUAAUUAUAUCAUUACGUUGCAUUAAACAACCACAGUAAACAUAAUAAAUUGUUAUUGAAGCGCAAUAUUCUCCGUUAUAAAUAAACGUAUUGAUUAGUAAUACUCUUAUGUUUCUUAUUAAUUAAUAUUUUAGGAAAAAAUUUGUUACUAAAAAAUUGAUUUUUAAGCUUUUUAUUUAAUAUUAAUUAUUUCUUAUUGAUAAAUAUUAAACUCCAAAAUAAAUAAAAUAUUAUUGAUUUUGAAUUAUUAAAAAUAUAAAUCAUAAAAAAUAAUACAUUUAUAAUUUGUUUUUAAUAGGUUUUCUUAAUAUGUGUAUUUUUCCAAAAAAUCAAAUAUUAAGAAAUAUUAUCUUAAGGAGAUUAGCAAAACUACCUUUUUUACUACUUUUUUGCAACAAUACCUCUUUAUGUUGUCCAUUUUACAAAAUAUCUCUUUCCUUGAACAGAAUGACCGAAUUACUCUCAUCUAAUAGGAACAUGUAAUUGGAAACUGAAAUUUUUCCGCCAAACUUUUUUUCUGCCAAAAAACAAAUUUCCCGCCAAUUUGUUUUUUUGUAACAAUUUUUUUCUCAACUAAAAUAUGCUUUUAAAAAUCCUUGUAAAUAUUUUUUGGCGGAAAAUAGAUUUACAAGGGAUUUUAAAAUGGUUUUAAAAUAUUUACAAUGGAUUUUAAAAGGGUUUUAAAAGAUUUACAAAGAUAUUAAAAGGUUUUAAAAAGAUUUACAAGAGUUUUUAAAGGGUCUUUUUGUAAAUUCUUUAAAAAUCUUUUAAAAACCCUUGUACAUCUUUUAAAACCCUUUUAAAUCCUUUAAAAAUCUCUUGUAAAUCGUUUAAAACCCUUUUGAAAUCCCUUGUAAAUCUUUCAAAACACUUUUAAAACAAUUUUAAAUCCUUUAAAAAUCUUAAAAAAAACUUUUGUAAGUCUUUUAAAACCCUUUAAAAUCCCUUGUAAAUCUUUUUAAGCCCUUUUAAAAUUUCUUGUCAACAUUUUAAAACCUUUUUAAAAUCCCUUGUAAAUCAUUUAAAACUCUUUUAAAAUUCCUUGUAAAUAUUUUAAAACCCUUUUAAAAUCUCUUAUAAAUCUUUGAAAACCCUUUUAAAAUCCCUUGUAAAUCUAUUACCCACAAAAAAAAACUCUUUUUGCGGGAAAAUGUUUUUUAAAAAAAAACUUUUGGCGGGAAAAUAUUUUGAUUGGAAACUUUUGGCGAGAAAUUUAUUUUGAAAUAGUUUAGGCGAAAAAAAUAUUAAUAUUUCAUUUUAUUAAUCUAAAACAAUUUUUAAAUAUGGAUAAAAUGAUAAUUAAAAAUUUAAAGAGAAUAAAAUUAAAAUGGCUAAAAAAUAAGGGUAAAGUUGAAAAUGAACACCAAAAAAAGGAUAUUAGAAAGAAUUUUUCUAUAUCUUACUGUGAAAUUUAGUACCCCAAAAGUAAAAAAGUAAGUUACUGUUACACAUAAACUCCACAAAAAGGCUUGCAUAUAAACGUUGGUAAAUAAAUCAUAAAUGUCAGCAUCCCUGUUUGUUUGAAAAAAAAAAAAAAACUGUUUGUUUGCAUUUCAACAAGAUGCGUAUGAAUUCUUCUUUCUUUGACUAUUUAUACCUUUCUUUUUAUUUUGGAAUCCAUAAAAUAUAACACAAAUUUUUAAUUUGUGGAUAAAGAAUGGAAAAAGUAUCUUUCAAAGAAAGGAGCAGUGUAGCCAAAGUGAUGGGGACGAUAUUGUCGUUAAUAGGCGCACUUGUUGUGGUUCUCUACCAUGGUCCACGUGUCUUUGUUGCAUCUUCUCCGCCGUAUAUAAACUUCCGUCAGCUUUCUCCGCCGUUAUCAUCUUCAAAUUCAGAUUGGCUCAUCGGCGGAGCUCUUCUUACCAUAAGAGACAUCUUUGUUUCUGUUUCUUUCAUUCUCCAGGUACAAAUUUUUGUUCUUAUACAUAAUAGAAAUAAUACAAAGUGUUGGAUAUGUUCCAUGCAAAAGAGACUAAUUUUGUUAUCGGAGGCAGAAUUUUUAAAAUACAACAGACUUAACCGAGGAAAAUUAGUUCAACCGUAAACCCACUGGAUCCUCGAACCUAGGCCAAAUAGAGAAUCUAACUUGAAAACAAAAACCCGUAAAGAAUUACCCCAUACCAGCAAAACUCAUGUGCUAUCACAAAACAACGUACCAUCAAAUUCUAGGUUAAUCAAUAGAUGAUGGCAGGCCUGGCCCGCCAAUAAAGCAGGAAAGCAACUGUUUUAAACCACACAAUGUAGUCUAGUGGUUAGACUUUCUAUAACUUAGUCCCGAUUCACAAGUUCGAGCUUUUACUAAUAUUAUUUGCUCUAUUUGUUUUUGCAUUCCUUUUCAUCCUUUUUUUCUUUUUCCAAUCCACAUAUUUUAGUUAUGUUUGAGGCCACUUAAAGUUAAGGACCGGCCCUCGAUGAUCGAGUUGGUCAUAGACCAAUCACUAUUUACUUACCUAUAGAAGAAAACUCUCAACCAUAAACAUUGGAUGUUAAAACUAGAUAUAGGCAUACAGGAAGAGGCGGCCAUGGGGUCAAGCAAGACAAGCAUGUUUGAAGUCGAAAUAAAUAAAUAUAUAUAUAUGUAAGAGUAUGAUAAAGUGACUAAUAAGGUGUCAAGUGGUCCGUUUAACGUCCAAUAGGUUUGACCAUUUGGACCAUUUUUUUUUUGGGGUUUAAUGAACGGUCCAUAAUGGUUUAUGGUCCAAAAACUUGUCCAAAUCCAUGAAGGAUAACCAUGUCCAUUGGAUAUGUCCAUGGUCGUCCAUUACUGUACAAGCUUCCUGUUUGAUUCAAAUUCAUCUCAAUUCAUCUCAACCGCAUGAUAGUGUUGGAUUCUAAGAGUACUAAUAUCAGUGAUAUGUGCGAAGUUGGAGUCCCAUUAUAACCUUUUGCCGAAAAUAUAUAAUUUUUCACUAAUAAGAGGCCCUAGUAAUUAUUGUUUUGCUUGGAGUCAUGAAACUCGUAAAGCCAGCUCUGGAAAUAGCUGGGGUUUUGAAGUUAAUCAACUAUCUUCAUACAUCAAAUAUCAAAUUUUGUUUUUUGAAAGAAGGUUGAACAUGCAUAUAUAAUUUCAAUGUUUAUUCUAUAAAAUGUAUUUGGCCAGGCAAAAAUAAUGAGUACAUAUCCAGCAGCAUUCACAGUCUCCUUCCUCUACAUUGUAUCGGUUUCAAUCGUGACUUCAAUGAUUGGACUAGUAGUGGAAAAGAACAAUCCAAGCGUUUGGAUCAUUCGAUUUGAUAUUACUUUGAUAACAAUUGUAACUAUGGUACGUUGUACAUAAUUUUAAAAGAUUACCAAUAUAUUUACUUUUGAUCUUAACCUAGUAUUUUAUAAAACAUUUCAGGCAAUAAUUACUUCAGUAUACUAUGUGAUCCAUUCAUGGACAGUACGUCACAAAGGACCUCUAUACUUAGCGAUAUUUAAGCCUUUGUCGAUUUUAAUAGCGGUGGUUAUGAGCGCAGUUUUUCUCAACGAUUCUCUCUAUCUCGGAUGGUAUGUGAUCACUCAUCAAUUGUCUUCAUUAAUUAUACACAUUUAUAAACAAAAACAUUUUCAAGCUUUUGCUUCAUUUUGCAGUUUGAUAGGAGGACUAUUGAUAACGUUGGGGUUUUACGCUGUGAUGUGGGGUAAAGCAAACGAAGAGAAAGAUCAAUUGUUGUUAGUUUCAGGAAAAGAGAGAACCCCUCUUCUAUUGAACGGCUAAAAUGGCCAAAUUAGAAUUAAAAAUAAAUUAGAACUAAUUUACAUAUUCUUAGCCACACUUUUGGGUAAUGUGUACAUGUAUAUUACUACUGUAUUUCAUGUUGCGCUUUGUUUAUAACUUGAAUAAUUGUUUUAACCAUGAAGUAAAGACACUCUAUAUCCAUGGUUAGUAAAUAAGGUAAAUUGCGUACAGUAGCCGUUGACCCACUUUUAAUUUCAAAUUUUGACACUGUGGGCUGGGCAUUUCAUUUCUUAGCCAUUCAGCCAAAAACUGACCAAAAUGCCCUGACGAAACUGAACCCGGUUUGUACGUACGGACCGCGUCGCUGGAAUCCAAGAGAACCGGGUUUGUACGUACACUGUUCAUCGACGAGAAAUGCAUUAAAUAUUUUCUGGGUUUCGGCGAAUUUGACACUUGAGAUUGAAAUUAAAAUUUUUAAAAAUUGGUUGGGCUCAGAAGUUUUUAAUGCUAAAAAGUUUUGACAAAACUAAAACUCAUGAUUACCUAUUAUAAUAUAGAUUAUAUUGUAAGAUAUUUACAUAAUUGAGAUUAGAAUUCUGGGAAAAAAACGAAAAUCAAAAUUGUGUUACGGUGAAGAAUCUGAAGUUUUUAGUUGCUGUUUUACAAAGUUUGAAGGAUUGAAGGGGAGACAAUCUGUGUUCUAGGUAAGAAAUUCGUGUUAAUCCUAUUAAUUACACUUGAGAACGUGAUAUGAAAGUAAUGAUACGUUUUUAAAAAUUUUUGAGUUCAUAAAUUGUUUUGUUGGAGAUCUUUUUGUAUUUGUAGAUAUAAAUGUAAGCUCUUUGAUCUGUUUUGUUAAAUUUAUAAGUACAUAAAUUAUUUUGUUAGAGAUUCUUUUUGUCUUUGUUGACAUAAAUGAAAGCCUUCAAAAAGAUCUGAUUUUUUUGUAUUUAAUGUUGUUCUGACCUGAGGAAUUUAUGUUGCAGGUAUGGAGUUACCUGUAUUAAUUAUGGUUGGUGAGUGGAUAUACAAAGAAGAAGGUUGGAAAUUUGAAGCUGAAAAAGGAAGUUUCGGACGCUGUGUACGUAUUACAGACACAACGACGUACACGGAUUUGGCAAGUACAAUAUGUGAUGUUUUCAGCUAUAAGUUUAGUGAAUGGAACCCUAUAAUAAGUUACUGGAUGCCUGGAAAGAUGUCUAAUAUGAUAGCAAGUAAUCGCCCUCCAGUAUAUAUUGAGAAUCAAAUCAGCAUGGAUACAUUUAUGUUGAUUCGUAAUGGCGAUCCUUCUGUUAACUUGUUUGUGUCUUUUUACCCUAUCGGCAAGGGAGGCCAUACAGAGACAGAGGUUACAAAUGUUGAUGCAGCUCAUAAUUUUUACGAAGAUAUAAAUGUAGAUGAGGAGGAUGACAUAGAUGAAGGUGAUGAGAAUGAAUAUGAGGACGAGGAUAAUGAAGAGGACGAAGAUAUGGAUGUACAUGACGAUGACACCGAUGGUGAAAGCCGUGAAAUUACCCUCGACCCUACAGUAGACGGUAGUGAAGGUAGUGGCGGAGAUUACGAUUACAAUAAAUGGGGUGACAUGAUUGUGGAACAAUAUGGAAAUGGUCAUGUUGAGGAGGACGUCGUGAAUGACACUCAACAAACCGUGGAACCCCCAAGGGAAUUCACUCGUCUAUUGGCAUCGUGUACGUCGACGGGUACACAUGUACCUCAUGUAGAACCCACUGGUGUUUUGGUUGACACUACACCAACCUCUGCUCCAUCCCCGACGUGUCAACAUGGUUUGUACCAAUGUACGUACACUAGAGUCUGUGCAGAGGAGACAAGAUGCGAAGGUGAAUUAGUUGAGCACACGGAUGAUAUAGCUGAGAACGUAACUGGAGAUGAUGGUAUAGUCGGAUGGAGUAUACGCGCUUUUGUGGUCAGGGUGUUUCAAAAAUGCGUGGGAAUAAAUGAGUUCGACCUGGGUCUCAUCUUGGCAGAUAAUCGAGUAAUAUUUCGCCAAUGUGUUUAUAACUUUUUUACUUUCACAUACCGUACAUGUCACUAAUCAUGAUGAUUUGUUGUAGGGAAUGCGUUCCCGCAUAGAGGCUACCAUUAAUCGUCGCCUUGCUUCAUUUUACUCUGGCCGUAAUAAUAUAUGCGUACACUAUAGUAAUGUGUACGUACACGGUAGUAAUGUGUACGUACACCGGAGUAAUGUGUACGUAUACGGGAGUAAUGUGUGUAUAUAUGUACGUAAAUAUCUAAAUAAUUUGUAUAUUUACGUUUCAAAUUUUUUUUGACCAUAAAAUCAAAACAUUCAAAUCAUGUAUGAACAACACAUGAAAAAAGUACAUGAAACUAACAUAUAUAUCAAAUUUGUUGUUGUGGGUGGUUAGAUAUUUAUUAGGAUUCGUACAUAUACGUUCCAUUAAAUAAUUUUGUGUACGUACAUUAUAAAUUAAAUAUAUAUACAUGAAGAAAUCCGAUGAAAGGUAUAACUGUAAUUUUCCAGUCAUCUUUAACCUAAGUAUCCUUUUCUACAUUUGAGUGUCACUAAUGAACAUGUUCUUGAUUGAAAAAGCAUCAAUUAUUUAGAAAAGAAUUAAGUCAUUCAAUCAUUUGUGAGUCCUAAACGGGAGAUAAGACAUGAUUUUUGGAAUAAUAUAAGCACACUACUAACUAUGUAUCCGGUAUAGUAUUGAAAGGUAAAUAUUUUACGUACAUGAAUACGUAUAGUUAUGAAAGCCCUGCAGUUUAGUAUUGGAAAAUAGGUUUUACCUGAAUCAGACUACGAUUCGUUGAAUAUCAUAUUUGCAUAAUUUAUAUUGAGAUAUAUAGCCAUAUAAAUAACUUAAUUUUGAUGUCAAAAAAUUAGAUUAAUGGUGUACCAUGUACGCUCCAAUAAAUAUUUUUGUGUACGUACAUAAUAUAAGACUUAUGUGAUUUAGGCAUUCUUAGGAUAUAAAUGUUUGGAGAGGUCAUACACGUGUACGUGUAUCUCAAUAUUAUCGUGUACGUCUACGGGUUUAGUUUUAAAUCUUACCUAUUCUCAACAAAUAAUAUCGUAUAACAUAACGCUUACUAAAGAAUGUCAAAAUAACAAUUAAAUAGAAACAACAACAUCAAAACAAAAAAUAUCAUAUAUAUCGUACUAAAUACAUAACAUUUGGCUAACUCGCCGUAUGCACCAUCGUAGAUACCAAACAUUACAAAAAUUCGUCAAUAUUGUAAAUAACAAUGUCUUCAUCUCUAGUAGGACUAUAGUAGAAUAUACCCUCACCAUCGUCAAUAUUGGUUUAUUAUUGUAUCAAUAAAUAUAUCUCAACAAUUUUAACUCAUGAAAAGAUGUACGUACAUCAUUUUUCAAAAGUAUUAAGAAUAUCUAUACUUUGACUAUAUAUUUUUACUUAAUUAUUAUAUAUGCAUAGAUUUUAUGGAGAAAACUCCGGAAAUAUCUCAUCUAAUCAAAAUAACCAAAGCCGUACCAUGUCACAUAUGUAAACAAUAUCUCUCGGGAUUGGCUCGUUUGAGUCUAUAUUAAUAUCGGUUGACAAAAAAAAAACAAAAAAAAAAAACAAAGAUUUAUAAUGUACAAACUCAAUAUAUAAUUGUGUAUACCGCUUUAACAAUAAAACAUAAUCUAUUAUAUUUACAUGUCCACAUGUACGUACACCGUAAAUUACAUAUACGUACACAUAAGAAAUUUAUUGAAGGGUAUAAUUAUAAUUUUGCAUUCGUCUUCAACCUCUGCAACCCUAAUUUUGCACUCUUCUUCAACCUCUGCAAUUUUAAUUUUGCACUCUUCUUCAACCUCUUACCCUUACCCAUAAUUGUCGUCGCCGACGAUGAUACAUUAACUUCCGAAACUCCUCGCCGCCGACUACUCUUCUUCAUCUCUGCCAUUUUAGUAUGAUAACCAGAAAAUCCUCUUUUUGUUAGACACUUUAAAACGAACUCGAUCGAAAUUUUCUCCACUCAAGCAAAGACUCGAACUCGAACAGAGCCUCAAUCGGAAUUGGGUUUAAGUUUUGUCGGAAUUUUUAUGCGUCUUCGAAUACGGAGUUCGUCGAAACUGUUCUGCGUUUCUCGAAGACAGUUUUUGAUUUUAUUUUAAGUUUUAAAAUUAUUUACAUUUUUAUUUAUUUAAUUUUAAAGAUUUAAAAUUAUUUCCGUAACCAGAAUACAAAGGAACGAAACUGAACAGUUUUCUUUCAUUUCUCGUUCCAGGGCAGAUUCGUCCAAUUAAGCCCAAGUGGCUAAAAGCUGGUUGGCUCAAUCCACUUUACCUCUUCGUGAAAAAAAAACUGAGAAAAGUGUUAACGGUGAAAUUUUCUUUAGUAAAUAUUUAUAGAUAUGACCUUUAACUUAUUAUAUAGAAAAUAAAAGUUGACAUUAUAUGUCUCUUGUUUGAGAACAGUUUCUGUAUCUCUCUCAUUUUUUUUUUUUAAUCCAUUGUGUAUUUGUGAGGAACGCUUUGUUUAAGAGUUUGUCCAUCUUCAAGCGUUACAAAAACACUCGAGGUUUUAUAAUUGAUAAAAUCUUUGGCCAUUUGGUCGGAAUUUGUGAACACGACUUCUCAAUUCCAAGAGAGUUAAAAGAAAAACCACACUUGAGAAAGUCCAAUAAGCAUAGGCAAAUUUAAAUAUCCAAAUUAUCAUUUCACGUAUAACAAGGAGAGACCAAAUGAUAGAAUGGCCCACCAAAAUUUCAAUUAUUUUUGAGACUUAAUCAUCAUUUUGGUCACAAGAUAUACAAAAUACUCUCCUGGAUUUUUAUCAUGAGUCAUUCCACACACUAAGCUUUAUAUCUUUUGACUUGCCGACAAUGGCCUCCAUUACUCUCCGUCGGAGAGACGCCGUGUUAUUGACGGCCAUGUUGGCGACUGAAACCGGAAAUGUGGCUAUGAAUACUUUGUUUAAAGCAGCGACUUCAAAAGGCCUUAAUUCUUAUACCUUCCUCAUCUAUUCUUAUCUCAUUGGCUCUAUUGUUCUUCUUCCUUCUCACAUCUUCUCUUAUAGGUUUCUAAAUAACAAUCUUUUUGUUAGUUAAUAAACCCUGUUUGAUUGAUUCUUGUUUUGUCAAAAGUUUUCAUUUGAUUACUUGUGCAUUCUUUUGCAGGUCAAGAUCACUUCCUUCACUAAGUCUUUCAAUUCUCUGUAAAAUUGGAGUUCUUGGGCUGCUAGGGUAAAGCCAACUACACUUCUUGUUCUUCUUCAACUUUUGAAUGUAAUUAUUUUCCUAAUUGUUGGUAAAGAAAUUUUUAUUAACCUGAAAAUGUUUCUAAUAUACUUUACUUUUUGCUAAAUGUGAAUAUAAAUGAACAGGUCAACGUAUCUGAUCACAGGAUUCAUAGGCAUCGAAUACAGCAACCCAACCUUAGCUUCAGCCAUUAGCAAUAUCAAUCCUGCCAUUACCUUCAUCCUUGCCAUUAUCUUCAGGUUUUAUUUUAAUCCAUUUACCUUUUUUUCUUACAAUUAUGAAUUGUUAAUUAGUAACGUCAGAAAUUUUCUACCUAUUAACAAAAAAAAAUAUAAAAACUUUUGUUUCUCGUUAAUAAGUAUUUAAUUGUUAAUUAGUAUUUAAUCCAUGAUUUUUUGGGUUAGUUUUAUAAAGAGAAUAUUAAUUCAGAUAACACAGAUAUGAUUAUUUAAUAAAGGUGAGCUGUUUUGUAGAUUAACACAGAUAAGACACUUGAAUCAUCAGUUUGUAAAAUAAAUAAAUAAAUUUUGUACUUAAUUUACAUGUUUAAUAAUUAAAUUCAGAAUUUCGAUAGCAGUUUUUCAAAGUUUAAUUAUAUAUUGUUAGAUCUACAUCAGGUUCAGGAAAAUGACAGGAAUAAAUAACGACAAAAAAAAUGACAGGAAUAAUUGUGUGGCACAUGUUAGUCAGGUUCAUAUUUUUAAAAUGGACAUUAGCUAUAAUGUAACAUCAGGUCCUAUUUGUGAUGUUCUAAAUAAAAACAAUUUUUUAGGUUUUUGUAACACUAAUAUUUUACUUUGAUUUUAAUCAAUUUGAUGUAUAAAGAAUUUCAGAAUUUUUAUUUAUCAGAAGAAGGUUUGGUAUGAUCAAAAGAAAGUUUGAGGUUUGUUUUUUUCCUGAAAUUGAUCAGUUUGGAAGUUUUGAACCGAUUUUAACUACUUACAGAACAAUAUUUAAAUUUUGCGGAUCCAUUUUCAAAAAAUAAAUCAAAACUUAAAUUUAAGUUUUGAACUUUAUAAUAAUCGCAUUUUCAAAAAAUGCCUAACUAAGUCGUUUCUUUUGUGAGAUACAGAGGAGGCCAUAUGAGCCCCGAAACACAUUAUAAUCUUGAACAUAUAGGAACAUGGAGGCUAGAGCACAUAUAUAUGGUACCCUUAUUUAUUAUACAGUAUUAUUGAUUUAAGUAGUAGUCACAAUGUUUAUCGGUUCUUGGAGAAACUAGAACAAAACAAACCACAAAAAUCCCAGUUUUGUAGUUAUACAUUUUUGUAAAACCUAAUCCUUUUCAUUUUUAAUUAUUUAAAAUUUAAGUACAAAAACAAAACUCGAGAGAGUGAAAGCCUACCAUAUAAUUUUAGGUGCGAAACCCGGAAAGACAACUAAAAAUCCAGAAAUACCAAAUCUUUCCUCUUAAUUUAGAGUACACAAUAAAUCCACCACAAUUUUUUUUAAUGGGGCUAUUCUGAGAACCGAACCACAAAAACACAAUGUCUCAAAACAUCUUUUGGGAUGAUUAAAAAAAAAAGUUUGUGAGUUUCUAUUAUUCUUUAAUGUAUUAAAUAUAUAUUUGUUUAAGAGAAGUGGAAAUAACUACAUUUUUAAAAUUAUUUUUAUUUAUUACUGUGUCAAGUUUUAUUACAAAUUUCAUAGGUGAUAGCAAUUUUGAAAAUUUUCAUUUGUAUGAUUAAAAUGAAUUGCUUUUUCCAUUUAGCAAAAUAUUUGAUCAUUUAAAUAUUUAUCAUGUUUUCUAUUUGUGAAACAAAAAAAUAGAAUGGAGAAAGCAUCUUUCAAAGAAAAGAGUAGUGUAGCCAAAAUGGUUGGGACAAUAGUUUCACUAGUUGGCGCACUUGUGGUAGUUCUCUACCAUGGUCCACGAGUCUUCACCCCAUCUUCUCCACCAUUUCCACAACUCCGUCAGCUUCUUUUGCCGUUAUCAUCCUCAAACUCGGAUUGGAUCAUCGGUGGUUGUCUUUUAGCCAUCAAAGACACCCUCGUUCCUGUUGCUUUUAUUCUUCAAGUAAUAACAUAUUAAUUCUCUUAACUUGAUACAUCAUACAUACUUGCAUGUACAUAAACUAAAUUUUCCUUAUAGUAGAUUAAUAUUGAAUUGGACAGGCACAUAUAAUGAAGUUAUAUCCAGCACCAUUCACGGUCUCUUUCUUCUAUUUUCUGAUUGCUUCAAUCUUGACGUCAUUGAUCGGAAUCGUAGCAGAAAAGAACAAUCCGAGCAUAUGGAUCAUUCAUUUUGACAUUACAUUAGUUUGCAUAGUUGUUGGGGUACGUAAAUUUUAAUAUUUUAGAAAACUUAAUUAUAUCUUAAACUUCUUUUCAAUACUAUAGCUAUUUUUCGCAGGGAAUAUUUAAUCCAGGAUAUUACGCGAUUCAUCUGUGGGCAGUACGUAAUAAAGGACCUGUUUACUUAGCUAUAUUCAGACCUUUAUCGAUUUUAAUAGCAGUGAUUAUGGGAGCGAUUUUUCUUGGAGAUUCUUUUUACCUAGGAAGGUAUAUGUAUAUAUGAAUCAAUAAUCUUCAGACACACUUGUUUGUGAAACAAGAAAAACCACACAUCUAAUCUAAUGGUUUCUUGUUAUGUGGUUAAUGUUGCAGUUUGGUCGGAGGGAUUUUGAUAUCGUUAGGGUUUUACACUGUGAUGUGGGGAAAAGCAAAAGAAGGGAAGACUCAGUUCUUGUCGCUGUCAGAGGAAACUCCUCUUCUAGACGAAAACAUAGACGACCGAAUAUAGAUUUACAAGAAUAUUGGAAACGAUGAUUUAAUUAAUAUGAUUAGCUCUUUGUAGAAUGUGUUUGUGUUGAUCGAGAUUAGGAGCACUCUAUUAGUAACAAUAAAAUGUUCUAUAUAGCUUUGUAACUGAACAUUGAACAAUAUAUUUUGUUACUCAUUUUUGAACACAUGUUACGGACAAAUGUUUUUGAAUAAUAUGAAAAUAGAUUGAGAGAGUUGGGAAAAUUGGAGGAAGAAGAAGCGACAAACCUGUCGCUACCUUCAUCAAGAAUCAUAAUAUCAGUGACCUCUCCCCAUGAAGAGAAAUGUUUACAAAGGCUAAUCAUGAUAUCAUCUUUAGAAAGCGAAUACUCAUAUCACAGGGAAAAACCUAAUAAUUUGACUGCGGGAGACAAUAUUAUCAUGUGAAAAAAAAAAAAAAAAUUAUCAACAAGACAAAAUUACAAAAUAUUAAAUUAAUAAAUAAUCUCGUUUAACUAUAAAAUCAAAUUUUAAUAUUUUUGUAUAAAUUCGAACCGAUAUUUAAUUUCUUUAUGUUGUAAAACAUAAACGCAAACUGUUUUUUUUUAUAAAUUCGAACUGAAAUUUAAUUUUGUUUAAUUGUAAAAUUUAAAUUAAUUUAUAAAUUCAUAUAUAAACUAAUAUAUAACUCGAUUUAAUGACAUAUUAGACUUUAUAAUUAAAAUGAAUUUAAUUUUUUGUAGAUGGUAGAUUUUAGGGUCUUUUGUAAAACUAACAUAUUUUGAUAAAGUAUUUAAGAAUAUAGCAGUAUAAUAUGGUAAACUAAAUAAAUAGCACACAUGAGAGAUGAAAUGUCUAAAUACUCCUUCAUGUUUGUUUCAGUGUGUAGACACACGGGCGUGAGAUUGUAAGCUGAUGAUUUCAUGUGUUAUAGAGAGUGGAGAGAAAUGAGAGUUUGUGAGUUUGGUAAGCACACAAGACGAGAAAAAAGGUGGGAUAAGGAGAGGUGAUGGUGGUGUGGGCAACGACGACGGUGAUGGUGUGGGCAACGACGGUGGUGAUAUUGAUUGCAGUGGUGGUCGUCGCGGUGGUGGCGGUGACUCUGAUUUCAACACCAUAUUGCAGCACAAUAAAAUAAAAAAAGCAAUUAAUUCCAGAAAUCAGAUACUACAUUCUCUAAUGUACCAAACAAUGCAAAAGUAAUAUCUGCAAAUCGUGGAUGUCAAUUUUUGUAUCUAGAAGUGAUAUAGUUUUUACUAAAGUCUAAAGACUCAUACUAUUUAGUAAUUUUUGGAUAAAUAGUAUACUAUUUACAUCAAAUCUAUGGUUUCUGUUAUAGUCCUGAUUUCUCACUCCUAAUCAUCAAAGUUCAUGAAUCGACACUUGUCGAUUUGAAUCAGAUCUGUUUCAGAAGUAGAUCAAUCGAAUGGGAGUUCGAAAUAUGGUGUUUGUGAGAAGGAGAGUAAAUGAAAGAGACACUAGAAAGAGCGAGAGAGAGGAUAAGAAACACAUAGAGGCGGAUAAAGGAG